GGGCCACCUUUUUCGUUUUUGCAGAUUCGGUCCGCUUUUUUCGUCGCCUGACCAAAAUGCCCCUCCUAUACAAUAGCCUCCCGCACGUAUUUCUUGACAUACGUAUACUACCCUACUAUCUUGCCGUACGGUCUGGCGCGCAUUAAAUAACCCGCUUAUUUCUCGGAACCCGGACCACAUCCGCCCCCGCUAUUCGCCGGCCCCGCUGUUUCCUGUUCGGCUUAAAACUUUACGAAAUUUUCGAACGCUAUUGACAAAUAGCGCGCGCCCCGCAACAGGGAUAAUAGUGUAACGCGAAGAGCUACGAAAUGAGAAAUGGUGCAAACGACCUCUAUAACAGUGCAUCCUACCCUCGUUCCAGUGCAACCAAACCAUAAUCAAUCAAAAUUUUACUUUCUCCAUUUCUUAAUAUAAUCUGAACUUAAAAGUGCAAAUGAACGGCGUCCCCUCCAAAUGCAGGCGAGGAAGUUCUGCGGCGGGGCUGGAUGGUCGGCGAUGUGCGACAAAAGAGUCGGCAGGCGAGGAAGAUCUGCGGCGGGGCUGGACGCUCAACGGCGGGGUUCGGAGUCCGAGAGGCGCGACAUAACGGCUAAACGAUUGUGUAAAGUUUUCCUAUAAAAGAUCACGCGUCCUUUUAACUGUUAAAUAAGUUCACAGUUAAGCGCGAAUAAUAGUGCAAGGCAGUGUUAAUUACAGAAUAAUAUUUUUCAAAAGAGUGCAAAGAAGCUUGUAAGAGUGCAAUACGGGAAAAUAACAGUGUAAUGGAUUUUAUCUACGAGUACAACGAAACAUGUAAGAGUGCAAUACGGUUAUAAUACCAGUGCAAUUUUUCGGAACAGACUCGUACUAAGCUUUUAAGAGUGCAAUACGGUAGUAUUCCUCAGCGUAUUCCUCAACCGAUGUAUACCAUGCCGUACUGUCUGGCGCUCAUUAAAUGCGCCGCGUCCGCUGUACGCAACCCAACCUCCCUCGAUCAUUACUCGGAACUCGGACCACAUCCGCCCCCGCUAUUCGCCGGCCCCGCUGUUUCCUGUUCGCAAGCUAUUGACAAAUAGUGCGCGCCCCGAUAAUAGUGUAACGCGAAGAGCUACGAAAGGAGAAAUGGUGCAACAGACGUCUAUAACAGUGCAUCCGUAGCUUCGUUCCAGUGCAACCAAACAAUGACAGUCAAAAUUGACUUAUUUUAUUUCAUAAUGUAAUCUUAAGCUAAUAGUGCAAAUGAAAGGACAUGGGGGCCGUCGAUAAUAUACGGGAGGAGUGGGAGGAGGCUCUACGACCUAUUUUAAAGUGAUGUUACAGUAAUACGGCUCUUGAGGUGAGCAUUAGCCACUUUCUGUUCACGACAAAAACUAAUAUUUCGCGAGCAUUAAUAGUCGGUUACCUAAAUGGUUACGCAACGUAGGGUAAAGGAGUACCUCGACUCGAUUCCUCAAAUGCCUGUUCGUUUUCUAUAAAAGCACUCUCCAGGGACUUGGGCAACUGGCGACGAGGAAACGGCGAUAAUGGAGGAUCACGAGACGAGAGGAGAGACCCGCAGGAGACGUCGACGAAGAAGAGGCUCGGUCGUAAGUGUAUCAUCCAGUAAGGAGGCGUGAUUCGCACUAUCUGAAGUGCUGUGCUUUAUUUGCGACGAGGUACCACCCUAUACCAGGUUCUUAAAUUCUUCCAGAUCUUUAUUCUUNCGACAUAACGGCUAAACGAUUGUGUAAAGUUUUCCUAUAAAAGAUCACGCGUCCUUUUAACUGUUAAAUAAGUUCACAGUUAAGCGCGAAUAAUAGUUCAAGGCAGUGUUAAUUACAGAACAAUAUUUUUCAAAAGAGUGCAAAGAAGCUUGUAAGAGUGCAAUACGGGGAAAUAACAGUGUAAUGGAUUUUAUCUACGAGUGCAACGAAACAUGUAAGAGUGCAAUACGGUAGUAAUACCAGUGCAAUUUUUUGGAACGGACUCGUACUAAGCUUUUAAGAGUGCAAUACGGUAGUAUUCCUCAGCGUAUUCCUCAACGGAUGUAUACCAUGCCGUACUGUCUGGUGCUCAUUAAAUGCGCCGCGUCCGCUGUACGCAACCCAACCUCCCUCGAUCAUUACUCGGAACUUGAACCACAUCUGCCCCCGCUAUUCGCCGGCCCUGCUGUUUCCUUUUCGAAAGCUAUUGACAAAUAGUGCGCGCCCCGAUAAUAGUGCAACGCGAAGAGCUACGAAAGGAAAAAUGGUGCAACAGACGUCAAUAACAGUGCAACCGCAUUUGUAACAGUCCAAAGUUUACUUAUUUUAUUUUUAAUUUAAUCUUAAGGUAAUAGUGCAAAUGAAAGGACAUGGUUACGUCGAAUAUAGCGGUGUGAAGUAGGAGGAGGCUCCACCACCUCUUUAUUGCCGCCGCCGCCGCGGCGCUAUACCUCCGCGCGCCAGGGUUAAUAGUGCAAGGCGAAGGCUCUGCGGCAGGAGAAACGGUGGAACAAACCUUCUAACAUGCAACCGUAGCGUCGUUCCAGUGCAAGGAGACUGCUAGGAUGAGGAGGAGGGUCGAUCGAAAGGUUACGAUCCAGCAACGAGGCGAUCAGAAAGAACGAUCCAGCAACGAGGCGUUAGGGUUGAUUCGCACUAUCUGGAAUGUUUCAUUUGUUUUGGGCAAUUUGGAGCUCCGCUCUACCAUGAAAAAGACAGUACAGACAGAAAAAUAUAGAACUAAUUUCAUAAGGGUGUAACUAUGUCACAAUAAUAGUGCAACGUAGGGUAAAAAAGUAGAACUAAUUUCAUAAGGGUGCAACUAUGUCACAAUAAUAGUGCAAUGGAUUCAUGGAAUAGCAAACACACGGUCUGGCGAAUAGCGUGGAUAUACGCUCCCAGCGCAGCGCACAUUUAAUGCUUCUAAAAGUACGUAGCGUAACGUCUACAUUAUAGCGUCUCUUCUAUGAGGAUAGGAGACACCGGUGGUUAUAUCGAAGCUGCCUCGGAAAAAGUAUAAGCGACUAUUUCGAAUGUUACUCGUAAAGGCGUUGCACUGUUAUGACGAAUGUUACUCUAAUAUUGCGCCAGUAUUGCACUUUUUUUGCAUUUUGUUACUUGGCGUUGCACUAUUAUUACAGCCUAUUGUUGCACUAUUUUUAUACGAUUGAAUGAUUUAUUGAUAUUUUAAAGUGAUGUUACAGUAAUACGGCUCUUCAGGUGAGCAUUAGCCACUUUCUGUUCACGACGAAAACUAAUAUUUCGCGAGCAUUAAUAGUCGGUUACCUAAAUGGUUACGCAACGUAGGGUAAAGGAGUACCUCGACUCUAUUCCUCAAAUGCCUGUUCGUUUUCUAUAAAAGCACUCUCCAGGCACUUGGGCAACCGGCGACGAGGAAACAGCGAUGAUGGAGGUACACGAGACGAGAGGAGAGACCCGCAGGAGACGUCGACGAAGAAGAGGCUCGGUCGUAAGUGUAUCAUCCAGUAAGGAGGCGUUAAGAUUGAUUCGCACUAUCUGAAGUACUGUGCUUUAUUUGCGACGAGGUACCACCCUAUACCAGGUUCUUAAAUUCUUCCAGAUCUUUAUUCUUAUCGAUAGAUUCUAAAUUUAUCCUGACUAUACUGUCUCUUUACGAACAAUGUAGUGCCAAAACGUCAAUGCGAAAGUGCCUAGUGCAAAUAAAGCUCCGACAUACCCCUCCGAGCGAGCCCUCUCCUCUUUGCCAUUUCAUCUUCCGAUAGAGGAACCUCAGAGUAUGUUAUGUGCUCGUGGAUUUGCGGCAAGCUUUGAUGAUGAUUCAGUACUUUUGUAAAAUGAAGGCCUAAUUUUGUUCAUUAAUAAUGUUGAUGCGAAAGUUACAGUUGAUGUUGUGAACAUCGUAUUGUAUGCAAAACGUGUAUUAUAUGUUGCGUUUUCGUCAAAGACAAUGUAUAAUUUGCUUGUAUAUUAAUAAAGAGAUCCCUUUCUUUACAUUGUUACGCCUUAUAGUAAAUAUAUCUGUAUAAUUCAUUAUAUUCAUGCACCGCUUUUAGCUGUAUUACACUAUUAGCGCAGAUUUUACACUAUUAUUUCCGACGAUGUUGCACUUUUACAUUCAUAUUAUAAACAAAUUCAGAGAAAGUCUUACACUGUUUUUUGGCCACUUGCAGUACUUAGGAAACAAUGUUACAAAUAAUUUUAAAAAAGUUCUUGCACCAAGGAAUUUUCUUGUAGUCGUUAGACAGUUGUUGCACUAUUUAGGCAAUUUAUUACACUAAUUGGUGAAAGACCACACGAUUAAUUUUACAACGUUAAACGCGAUUAAUAGUGCGACGCGCUGUAAAAGAGCUCAAAUAGGCCCGUAAUGGUGUAAUAUUAUCGUAGUAAUCGAUCAAUGGUUUGAAAGUAAUGGUGCAACGAGUCAACAAUUUUUAGGACUGGCUUAUGAUGGUCCAUAUAUUUUAUAAUACACCUUCAAUAGUAUGUUGAGAAUGGUGCAAUAAGAAGUUUAAUCAGGGAUUAUAUCCGGGAUGAAUUCUCCCGAAGAAAGUUCGAUGUGUCGCCAGUGUCUCUUCCCCUCUCUUACCGGCCAGUGCCUCUUCACUACUUACUCGAGUAUAACGAUCACGUCAAUGUACUAUUCUGUCGCUACAUUUAAUGCCACUAUCUUUCACAUUCUCGCUGUUGGCUGAUUGUUGUGCUAAUGUGUCAGGUUUUGUAUGGACUCUUACGCUGUUUCGUGAGAAGGUUGGCCCAUAUUAGCAUCCCACUAACUUUCAAACUCCUGUUGCUCCCCAUUACCCUAUUCUAAUCUUUUAAGGCCUCUAAACCGCCUUACGUCGGUCAUUGCCCUAACAGCCGCAUUUCUAUUUAUAACCACCACCGUCCACUUCGAAUCCCAUCGGCGAAUACACGACCUUUCUAAAUCUACAUUCCUUGCAAUGGCGUCGAAGUCGUCGCAAUCUACUGAUUCAUCGUCUGCCGACGGCCGUAAGGUGCCUUCGCGGCCGGUUGCCGGCGGCCCCGCCGGUAGAUUCAUUGUGAAUUCUCGAUGUUUCGUCGGAGCGUACAAGAAGACUUACGCGUCGAUUGUGAAGCUGCAUCAUCUUCCCGUCAUCCAGAGUACGAUAUUUAGUAAUAUCUUACACUUCCCCGACAUCACCUCAGAUAGGCUAUUGCUGGAGUUCAUCCUCCGUCAUUGGAAUGAGGGUGUAGAAUUCGAAAUAGGCCCUCAAGUCAUACGCUUCACGGCCAAUAAGGUGGCAGUUCUUCUUGGAUUACCCCUGUCGGUCCAAGCUCUAGACCUAAGCCUCAAUUGGGGGUCGGAUAUUCAAAAUCGUUUCCUUGAGAGGAAGAAGGUCGACCGCAAGAACCUGGAGGUGGUUUUGAAAGAGAUGUCACCCAAGAAGGACGAAGAGGACAUUACCGACUUCGUGAAAUUACUUAUUCUCUACUUUUUUUGUUGUAUUCUUUUCACCAAUACCAACAAUCUGUCCCAAAGGACUGGUGGGUCUUGUCGAUGAUCUCCCCGCUCUGGCACGCUACAAUUGGCCGGAAGCAGUACACCGGCUUAUAAUCGACAGCCUAUGCUCCGCCGCCGUUAAAUUGCAAGCUAAUUCGAAGCGGGAAGGAUACGUUUUUGGAUGCACUCCGCUUCUCCCAGUAAGUCUCUAUUGUUCAAGUAAUCGUGCAAAUCCAAUUUCUAAAAUAGUGCAAAUUAAGCUAUUAUAUACUUAAUCAUGUAACUGUGUGAACUCUAGUGUAAUAUCUUUCUGAUAUUAGUGUAAUAAUAUCUUUGCUAUCAGGUGUGGAUAUAUGAGCACACUGGGUACAGAUGCCCUCUGCUUUCCCGCCGCGCAAUAUUGCCUCGUAUCCAGAGAUGGGAUACGAUUAGAUGGACUCGUCGUUCGCGGGGAUCGUCGAGAGUGAAGGAGGAUUUUAACUUCACUACGUGCCGCCGCAGGCUCGAACUCUCCCCGGAGGAACUACGGCUGGUGGGUGUCGAGGCUCAAGUUUCGAGGCGCCACCGCCGCCCCAGGAAUGAGGAACCUCCGGGCGGUUAUAAAGAGGUGAUGGCGGCAAUUAGCCGUCUGGAGGCCGUGGUGUUCAGUCUUGCCACUUCCGUUGCCGGCAUACUCAGCAAUCUGGCACUCCUACCAGCACCAAAAUCGACCCCGGUACCUACUAGAAUUAUCAAAAGCAAGAAGAGGAGGCACGAUGGGGUGCAAGUACCAACACCCCCACCGUCAAAAUCAUCUACGUGAUCGACACAGGGAGUUAAAAAAAGAAGGAUAGGAUCCGUAUUGGCGAUGCCCGCACCGAUCUCGGCCAUUAAGGAGAAUCCCGAAAUCGGAAAAGAACGGUCGAGAGCUUCUUCGAAAUCUAGAAAGGAUGGGGCACGCCAAAAACUAUCGAGUCCGCCAAAGGCUCCCAAGGAGUGUCUUAAAAAUCGCACGCCGGUGAGGGCCAAACAAUUUCGAAGCCCAUACGAUCUCCGACCUCGCUUGGAACGAAAAAAGAAAGCUGACGAAACAAUCGCCGAUGACACAAUCGCCGACGUAUGUGACGCCCUUAUUAUUUUACAUUCUCAACAAACGAUUGAUUCGUAAAUUUCAUCUCAAUAAUAAUGUAACGGUAUCAGACUUCGAUUAAUAAACUCUUGUUUUGGUUCUGUAUUUGUGUAAAUUUCUUUGUAAUAGUGCAUCAUAUACUUGUGUAGUGUAACAUAUAAUCGCUUUUUUUGUAUGCAGGCUUCGCAGCCGAGACGGAGUGAAAAAUAUGACCAUCCAAAAGCUGGUCUUUUCGCAGGAGACUCCUUUAUAAAAAGCGAUGAAGUAAGUAAUAGUGUAAACGGAGUAAGUAAUAGUGUAAACGGGAAUUAAAUAGUAUAAUAUCUAAAUAAUUAGUGUAAUUGACGCCAAUUUUAAAUUUUUUUAAAUUUAGCUGCAUAACAUCGUCAUCCAAAUAUGUGAAGACGUGCCCCCGUUAUCUUCACUACCAGAGGUGCCGGCGGCGGGGGCUCCGGUGGCGGCGACGGUAACACACGUUCCGCCGAAAGAGGAGCCGGCGGCAACCGAGGCGGCGGAACCGGACACAGCGGGGGUAACUUUCGUGGCGACGGUGGAUGAAAAUGAAGCGGCGGGAGCGGCAGAUGAGGAGGAAAAUAUGGCGGUAGAGGCGAAAGUGGAGGCUGUGGCGAAGGAAAAGGUGGAGACUGCUGCAGCGCCGGCGGAGGACGAGGAAAAGGAGGAGGCGAAGACGACGGAGGAGGCUGCGAAGGAGGUGGCCGCGAAGGAAAAGGUGUGGGCGGCGGCAGCUGCGGCGGAGGAGGUGGACAAGGAGAUUGCGGUUGCGACUACGGCAGCGGAGGAAAAGGACUUCGAAUUAGUGUCGGGGGUUGCUUCGGAGUUAUCGUCGAUACACAGUAAGACGACUCGGGCAUCUAAACGUGUAAGUUGAUAUUACAUCGAUACUCUUGAAAUAAUGCAAAAUAUUGCUAUUCCUGUAAUAUAACCUUGAUUGUUGCACUACUUUAAAUUUUUUGUACAGGACAUUAAAAAAAUGGACAAGCCUCGCCCGAAGAGACGCUUGGUGCGUCUCUCGACGACGACAAAGGCACCUACACAAAUUGCGAAGUCUUCCAUGCAAGAACCCAGCAUUAUAGAGGUGCGUGAAUAUUGCAACAUUACAUUUCAUUAAUGCGAUACAGCUUAUAAUAGUGUAAGAAUGUCCUGCAAUGGUGUAAUUACGAUCUGAUUCUUUCAUUUUUUGCUAAAUAGCAUCCAAUAAUCAUCGACAUCCCCCCCUCCUCGGAUGAAACAUCAAAAUUUAUAAAGGGCAAAAUACUCAAAUUGAAUGUCGCAAAAUCAUCACCGACACUGGAUUUAAAGUAUUACGGCAAGGGUGAGUUGCCGAAGGAGGAUCAGGAGCGAAUUGAAAAAUUCCUGACAAACACCACCCCCUCCGCAUUAGUACUGCCUUCGAAAGAUAUUGACAUCGGGAGGAAGGACUUGGUUGAUCUAACAAGUCAUAUGGCCUUCGUCAGCUCCGAUGUUAUUGACGGCUACCAGCAUUUACUCCAGGAGGCGGAAGGCCACAGGUGCAUAUACUCCACGACAUUACUUUAUCAUACCCUAGGGACUGCAAUGAGCCCCAAGAUAUUUUUGGACGACAUCACCGAGGAGAGGAUCAGUGAGGCGAAGUACUGGUUCAUCCCGCUCUUCGACUUCCAACACUGGCAUUUGCUGACUGUUGAUCUCCAAGACGGGAAGUACCUCCACUUAUCGUCCAUUAAAAAUCCUAAAUACAACGUGAGGUUUGAAAAAGCAGUAAGUGUUUCCUAAUACUUUAAAAUUGUACCAGCAUUAUCCCAUUAUAUUUCUAAUUAGUGCAAUGAUUUCUAUGCAGUGUAAGUUCAUAGGAAAUUAUUUGCAACAAAAAUUUUUCAAUUUGUUUGGGGACCGCGGUACCCGUCCCGUCGACUGGGAGAAGAUCAAUAUGGAAGACAUCGCGAUUCAAGAUCAGUCCAAUGACUGCGUAAUCUUCCUUUUAGCAUACGAGGAAUACUUACAGAAGGGGUGGAACUUGGACUUCUCCCAGAAUGAUAUGACCAUGAGACACGACGAGAUAGCAGCAGAAUUCUUGCGUCUUUUUUACUCGUAAUAAUUCGAGGCUGAUUCAAGUUACAGUUCUUUCAUUUGUACUGUCAUUUUUUUCAUACUAAGAUGAAUUGGUGUACAUAAUGUAAUUCUCAUUACCUUUGUUAUAAAGAAAUUAAUAGAAUUUUACUUGUAAUAUUCCUCGUUACACUAUUUUCAAGAAUGUUGAACUAUUAUCCCUCCUUGCUUCAAGGUGUUUGCACUGGAGCGAGUCUAGUGAUGCACGCUUAGAAGGGCUGUUACAUCAUUUAACCUGGCUUUGCUUUUUCUUGUUGCACUAUUAUCUCAGUCAUGUUUUAGGUUCUCAUAUUUAAAAUUAUUAAAGUCGAACAGCAAACAGCUGGGGUAGCGAAUAGCGGAACGGAUGUUGUCCGAGUACCGAAAAAGAGCCAUGUUGCGUGAAGCGCAUGGGCCGCAUUUAAUGCCCCGAAGGGUUUGUCUAGGGUGUUUACAAUCUGUGUAACAGUGCAAUGUAAUGUAUAUAAUGGUGCAUUUUAUUUUACAAGUGGUGUAAAAAAAUUCAUCUUGUAUUAUAACAGUGUAAUGUAAUAGAGAUAAUAGUGCAAUUCUUGUUGAAAAUGGUGAUUAGUUUACAGCUGUUACACUAUUUUAUUUCCAUUCCCAAACAGCGAAACUUGCUCACCUUCCCGAGGCGAAAUUUCCUUACAAUCCUGUAAUUAUAUGAGGCCCAUGUGCUAUACGCAACAGCGCCGUUUUAUGACAGAGUAUGAAAUGUAAGCCAUUAAAAAGCCAUUAAUGCAGCAAGCGCGGGAAAGGCGGGUUUAGAGCGUAGAUAUUCUAUUCGCCAAAGCCAGUGUUUGCUGUUAGAUUUUUUAUUUUUUUAUUUAUAUUAUUUGGAAGUGCAGCCGCAUUUGUCUCAAGGACUGAAGGGAAUAAAAUCUAAAAUCUAUUGAUUCCGCUGUGUCAAGUACUAUNNNNNNNNNNNNNNNNNNNNNNNNNNNNNNNNNNNNNNNNNNNNNNNNNNNNNNNNNNNNNNNNNNNNNNNNNNNNNNNNNNNNNNNNNNNNNNNNNNNNNNNNNNNNNNNNNNNNNNNNNNNNNNNNNNNNNNNNNNNNNNNNNNNNNNNNNNNNNNNNNNNNNNNNNNNNNNNNNNNNNNNNNNNNNNNNNNNNNNNNNNNNNNNNNNNNNNNNNNNNNNNNNNNNNNNNNNNNNNNNNNNNNNNNNNNNNNNNNNNNNNNNNNNNNNNNNNNNNNNNNNNNNNNNNNNNNNNNNNNNNNNNNNNNNNNNNNNNNNNNNNNNNNNNNNNNNNNNNNNNNNNNNNNNNNNNNNNNNNNNNNNNNNNNNNNNNNNNNNNNNNNNNNNNNNNNNNNNNNNNNNNNNNNNNNNNNNNNNNNNNNNNNNNNNNNNNNNNNNNNNNNNNNNNNNNNNNNNNNNNNNNNNNNNNNNNNNNNNNNNNNNNNNNNNNNNNNNNNNNNNNNNNNNNNNNNNNNNNNNNNNNNNNNNNNNNNNNNNNNNNNNNNNNNNNNNNNNNNNNNNNNNNNNNNNNNNNNNNNNNNNNNNNNNNNNNNNNNNNNNNNNNNNNNNNNNNNNNNNNNNNNNNNNNNNNNNNNNNNNNNNNNNNNNNNNNNNNNNNNNNNNNNNNNNNNNNNNNNNNNNNNNNNNNNNNNNNNNNNNNNNNNNNNNNNNNNNNNNNNNNNNNNNNNNNNNNNNNNNNNNNNNNNNNNNNNNNNNNNNNNNNNNNNNNNNNNNNNNNNNNNNNNNNNNNNNNNNNNNNNNNNNNNNNNNNNNNNNNNNNNNNNNNNNNNNNNNNNNNNNNNNNNNNNNNNNNNNNNNNNNNNNNNNNNNNNNNNNNNNNNNNNNNNNNNNNNNNNNNNNNNNNNNNNNNNNNNNNNNNNNNNNNNNNNNNNNNNNNNNNNNNNNNNNNNNNNNNNNNNNNNNNNNNNNNNNNNNNNNNNNNNNNNNNNNNNNNNNNNNNNNNNNNNNNNNNNNNNNNNNNNNNNNNNNNNNNNNNNNNNNNNNNNNNNNNNNNNNNNNNNNNNNNNNNNNNNNNNNNNNNNNNNNNNNNNNNNNNNNNNNNNNNNNNNNNNNNNNNNNNNNNNNNNNNNNNNNNNNNNNNNNNNNNNNNNNNNNNNNNNNNNNNNNNNNNNNNNNNNNNNNNNNNNNNNNNNNNNNNNNNNNNNNNNNNNNNNNNNNNNNNNNNNNNNNNNNNNNNNNNNNNNNNNNNNNNNNNNNNNNNNNNNNNNNNNNNNNNNNNNNNNNNNNNNNNNNNNNNNNNNNNNNNNNNNNNNNNNNNNNNNNNNNNNNNNNNNNNNNNNNNNNNNNNNNNNNNNNNNNNNNNNNNNNNNNNNNNNNNNNNNNNNNNNNNNNNNNNNNNNNNNNNNNNNNNNNNNNNNNNNNNNNNNNNNNNNNNNNNNNNNNNNNNNNNNNNNNNNNNNNNNNNNNNNNNNNNNNNNNNNNNNNNNNNNNNNNNNNNNNNNNNNNNNNNNNNNNNNNNNNNNNNNNNNNNNNNNNNNNNNNNNNNNNNNNNNNNNNNNNNNNNNNNNNNNNNNNNNNNNNNNNNNNNNNNNNNNNNNNNNNNNNNNNNNNNNNNNNNNNNNNNNNNNNNNNNNNNNNNNNNNNNNNNNNNNNNNNNNNNNNNNNNNNNNNNNNNNNNNNNNNNNNNNNNNNNNNNNNNNNNNNNNNNNNNNNNNNNNNNNNNNNNNNNNNNNNNNNNNNNNNNNNNNNNNNNNNNNNNNNNNNNNNNNNNNNNNNNNNNNNNNNNNNNNNNNNNNNNNNNNNNNNNNNNNNNNNNNNNNNNNNNNNNNNNNNNNNNNNNNNNNNNNNNNNNNNNNNNNNNNNNNNNNNNNNNNNNNNNNNNNNNNNNNNNNNNNNNNNNNNNNNNNNNNNNNNNNNNNNNNNNNNNNNNNNNNNNNNNNNNNNNNNNNNNNNNNNNNNNNNNNNNNNNNNNNNNNNNNNNNNNNNNNNNNNNNNNNNNNNNNNNNNNNNNNNNNNNNNNNNNNNNNNNNNNNNNNNNNNNNNNNNNNNNNNNNNNNNNNNNNNNNNNNNNNNNNNNNNNNNNNNNNNNNNNNNNNNNNNNNNNNNNNNNNNNNNNNNNNNNNNNNNNNNNNNNNNNNNNNNNNNNNNNNNNNNNNNNNNNNNNNNNNNNNNNNNNNNNNNNNNNNNNNNNNNNNNNNNNNNNNNNNNNNNNNNNNNNNNNNNNNNNNNNNNNNNNNNNNNNNNNNNNNNNNNNNNNNNNNNNNNNNNNNNNNNNNNNNNNNNNNNNNNNNNNNNNNNNNNNNNNNNNNNNNNNNNNNNNNNNNNNNNNNNNNNNNNNNNNNNNNNNNNNNNNNNNNNNNNNNNNNNNNNNNNNNNNNNNNNNNNNNNNNNNNNNNNNNNNNNNNNNNNNNNNNNNNNNNNNNNNNNNNNNNNNNNNNNNNNNNNNNNNNNNNNNNNNNNNNNNNNNNNNNNNNNNNNNNNNNNNNNNNNNNNNNNNNNNNNNNNNGCGUAAGAUCGAUUCUAGACUGCUGGGGGUUGUACUUGCACCCCAUCGUGCUCCUUUCUUACUUUUGAUUAAUUGCCAAUGGUGCCGGGGGAUUUUUGUGCUUGGUAGAGUGCCGGAUUGGCUGAGUUAUGGCCGGCAACGGAAGUGGGCAAGACUGAACUACACGGCUACAGACGCUAUUGCCGCCAUCACCAUCUUUAUAACUGCCGAGGUUCCUCAUCUCCUGGGGCGGCGGUGGUGCCCGAACUUGAGCUCGCACACAGCCGUAUGUUCUCCAGGGAGAGUUCGAGCCUGCGAGGCACGUGCGAGUUAAAACCUCCUUCACUUCGACAUCGCCCCGAAAUGACUGAGCUCCAUUAAUUCGUAUCGCCAUCUCUGAGACACGAUGGCAUAUUGCACGACUGAAGAAGGCAUGAGAGGCAUUCUGUACCAGUGGCCUCAUAUAUCCCACCUGAUAGCAAAGAUAUAUAUUACACUAUAUUCAGAAAAAGAUAUUACACUAGAGUUACACACAGUUACAUGAUUUAAGUAUACAAUAGAUAUUCUAUAAUUUGCACUAUUUUAGAAAUUGGAUUUGCACGAUUACUUGAACAAUAGAGACUUACUGGGAGAAGCGGGGUGCAUCCAAGAACAUAUUCUACCCGCUUCGAAUUAGCUUACAAUUUAACGGCGGCGGAACAUAGGCUGUCGAUUAUAAAUCGGUGUACUGCUUCCGGCCAAUUGUAGCGUGCCAGAGCGGGAAGAUCAUCGACAAGACCCACCAGUCCUUUGGGACAUAGAUUAUUGGUAUUGGUGAAAAGAAUACAACAAAAAAAGUAGAGAAUAAGUAAUUUCACAAAAUCGGUAAUGUCAUUUUCGUCCUUCUUGGGUGACAUCACCUUCAAAACCACCUCCAGGUUCUUGCGGUCGACCUUCUUCCCCUCAAGGAAACGAUUUUGAAUAUCCGACCCCCAAUUGAGGCUUAGGUCUAGAGCUUGGCCGACAGGGGUAAUCUAAGAAAAACUGCCACCUCCUUGGCCGUGAAGCGUAUGACUUGAGGGCCUAUUUCGAAUUCUACACCCUCCUUCCAAUGACGGAGGAUGAACUCCAGCAAUGGCCUAUCUGAGAUGAUGUCGGGGAAGUAUAAGAUAUUACCAAAUAUCGUACUCUUGAUGACGGGAAGAUGAUGCGGCUUCACUACCGACGCGUAAGUCUUCCUGUACGCUUCGACGAAACACCGAGAAUUCACAAUGAAUCUACCGACGGGGCCGCCGGCAACCGGCCGCGAAGGCGCCUUACGGCCGUCGGCAGACGAUGAAUCAGUAGAUUGCGACGACUUCGACGCCAUUGCAAGCAAUGUAGAUUUAGAAAGGUCGUGUAUUCGCCGAUGGGAUUCGAAGUGGACGAUGGUGGUUACAAAUAGAAAUGUUGCUGUUAGGGCAAUGACCGACGUAAGGCGAUUUAGACGCCUUAAAAGAUUAGAAUAGGGUAAUGGGGAGCAACAGGAGUUUGAAAAUUAGUGGGAUGCUAGUAUGGGCCAACCUUCUCACGAAACAGCGUAAGAGUCCAUACAAAACCUGACACAUUAGCACAACAAUCAGCCAACAGCGAGAAUGUGAAAGAUAGUGGCAUUAAAUGUAGCGACAGAAUAGUACAUUGACGUGAUCGUUAUACUCGAGUACGUAGUGAAGAGACACUGGCCGGUAAGAGAGGGGAAGAGACACCGGCGACACAUCGAACUUUCUUCGGGAGAAUUCAUCCCAGAUAUAAUCCCUGAUUAAACUUCUUAUUGCACCAUUCUCAAUAUACUGUUGAAGGUGUAUUAUAAAAAAUAUGGACCAUCAUAAGCCAGUCCUAAAAAUUAUUGACUCGUUGCACCAUUACUUUCAAACCAUUGAUCGAUUACUACGAUAAUAUUACACCAUUACGGGCCUAUUUGAGCUCUUUUACAGCGCGUCGCACUAUUAAUCGCGUUUAACGUUGUAAAAUUAAUCGUGUGGUCUUUCACCAAUUAGUGUAAUAAAUUGCCUAAAUGGUGCAACAACUGUCUAACGAGUACAAGAAAAUUCUUUGGUGCAAGAACUUUUUUAAAAUUAUUUGUAACAUUGUUUCCUAAGUACUGCAAGUGGUCAAAAAAUAGUAUAAGUUUUUCUCUGAAUUUGUUUAUAAUAUGAAUGUAAAAGUGCAACAUCGUCGAAAAUAAUAGUGUAAAAUCUACGCUAAUAGUGUAAUACAGCUAAAAGCGGUGCAUGAAUAUAAUGAAUUAUACAGAUAUAUUUACUAUAAGGCGUAACAAUGUAAAGAAAGAGAUCCCUUUAUUAAUAUACAAGCAAAUUAUACAUUGUCACUACAACAAAAACGGUCUAUAGCGACACUUUUAAAUAUAGGUACAUGUCAAAAAAGUGCUGCUAGCUAAAAUUACCGACACUUUUAAAAAGUGUUGCUAUUGUGGGGUCGCUAGAUAUAUAGUGACAGUUAAAGAGUGUCGCGAUAACCUAAAAGAAUGCUGCUAAUUUACCAACACUUAUUUAAGCAUUUAGCAACCGCCGAAACUCUAUCUCGUUGGCUGCGGUGGCGAAGGAGAACAACAGGAAAGGCUCUUCGUCUAGAAUUUCAGUGGAUUGAGUGAAGAGAGAAGAAAAGAUAGUAAUUGAUUUUUUUUUUUUUUCUUUUCUGUUUGUAAUCGGGCCAAAUGGACUAGGUGUUGUGGGUUGAGUAGAGUAAUCUUUUAUUUUUAGUUGGAUUGAGCUUUAUAUAUAGGCAUUAGUAGAUAUUUUUUUAAGUUUUAGGAUAAAUAGGACACUUACUCAAAAGUGUCCCAAACAUGUGUCGCUAUAACCUAAUUCUGUUGUAGUGUGUCUUUGACGAAAACGCAACAUAUAAUACACGUUUUGCAUACAAUACGAUGUUCACAACAUCAACUGUAACUUUCGCAUCAACAUUAUUAAUGAACAAAAUUAGGCCUUCAUUUUACAAAAGUACCAAAUCAUCAUCAAAGCUUGCCGCCAAAUCCACGAGCACAUAACAUACUCUGAGGUUCUUCUAUCGGAAGAUGAAAUGACAGAGAGGAGAGGGCUCGCUCGGAGGGGUAUGUCGGAGCUUUAUUUGCACUAGGGACUUUGGCAUUGACGUUUUGGCACUACAUUGUUCGUAAAAAGACAGUAUAGCCAGAAAAAAUUUAGAAUCUAUCGAUAAGAAUAAAGAUCUGGAAGAAUUUAAGAACCUGGUAUAGGGUGGUACCUCGUCGCAAAUAAAGCACAGUACUUCAGAUAGUGUGAAUCAAUCUUAACGCCUCCUUACUGGAUGAUACACUUACGACCGAGCCUCUUCUUCGUCGACGUCUCCUGCGGGUCUCUCCUCUCGUCUCGUGAUCCUCCAUCAUCGCCGUUUCCUCGUCGUCGGUUGCCCAAGUCCCUGGAGAGUGCUUUUAUAGAAAACGAACAGACAUUUGAGGAAUCGAGUUGAGGUACUCCUUUACCCUACGUUGCGUAACCAUUUAGGUAACCGACUAUUAAUGCUCGCGAAAUAUUAGUUUUCGUCGUGAACAGAAAGUAGCUAAUGCUUACCUCAAGAGCCGUAUUACUGUAACAUCACUUUAAAAUAGGUCGUGGAGCCUCCUCCCACUCCUCCCGUAUAUUAUCGACGGCCCCCAUAUCCUUUCAUUUGGCCUAUUAGCUUAAGAUUACAUUAUGAAAUAAAAUAAGUCAAUUUUGAACUGGAACGAAGCUACGGAUGCACUGUUAUAGACGUCUGUUGCACCAUUUCUCCUUUCGUAACUCUUUACGUUGCACUAUUAUCGGGGCGCGCACUAUUUGUCAAUAGCUUUCGAAAAGGAAACAGCGGGGCCGACGAAUAGCGGGGGCGGAUGUGGUUCGAGUUCCGAGUAAUGAUCGAGGGAGGUUGGAUUGCGUACAGCGGACACGGCGCAUUUAAUGAGCGCCAGACAGUACGGCAUGGUAUACAUCGGUUGAGGAAUACGCUGAGGAAUACUACCGUAUUGCACUCUUAAAAGCUUAGUACGAGUCUAUUCCAAAAAAUUACACUGGUAUUACAACCGUAUUGCACUCUUACAUAUUUCGUUGCACUCGUAGAUAAAAUACAUUAUACUGUUAUUUUUUCGUAUUGCACUCUUACAAGCUUCUUUGCACUCUUUUAAAAAAUAUUAUUCUGUAAUUAACACUGUCUUGCACUAUUAUUCGCACUUAACUAUGAACUUAUUUAACAGUUAAAAGGACGCGUGAUCUUUUAUAGAAAAAUUUUACACAAUCGUUUAGCUGUUAUGUCGCGCCUCUCGGACUCCGAACCCCACCGUUGAGCGUCCAGUCGCGCCGCAGAUCUUCCUGGCUUGCCGACUCUUAUGUCGCACAUCACCGACCGUUCAGCCCCGCCGCAAAGCUUCCUCGCCUGCAUUUGUAGGGGACGUCGUUCAUUUGCACUUUUAAGUUCAGAUUAUAUUAAGAAAUGGAGAAAGUAAAAUUUUAACUGAUUAUGAUUUGGUUGCACUGGAACGAUGGUAGGAUGCACUGUUAUAGAGGUCGUUUGCACCAGUUCAGAUUAUAAAUUGAGGUAUAAGCGGGGAUUAGAUCAAUUUUGCGUUUCGAUGAAAAUUGGGUUAUUCUUGAAAAUAAGAAAAAUAGCGUUUGGUUAGGUAAGAUGGAAUAAAAAUUGAAGUGGGUAGUUAUAAAUAAAAAAUAAUAAUAUUAUUCUUUUUUUAUAUUAGAAUUAGAAUUUUUAUAUUUUAUAUUUAUAUUUUAAAAUUUAAAAUAUAAACUUUUAAAUUUUAAAAAUCAAAAUUAAAUUUUAAAUUUAAAAUCUCAAAUUUAUAAUUUUAAAAAAUUAAUUUAUCAUGAAUAUUAUUAGAUAAUCAUAAAUGUUAAUUAAUACAUUAAUUACCAGAUUAAUUAAUCAUUAAUCAAUUAACCAUGAGUACUGUUAAUUAAUAAAUUAUCUAACUAUAAAUAAUUUAAUAAGUUAACAAAUUAGGCUAAUAUAUUAAUAUAUUAGUAAAUUAAUAAUUAAUUAAUUAUUUGAUUAGUUAUGUUGGUAAAAAUAUUAAUUUAUUUAUCAAUAAAGAUAUUAGUUAUUGCAUAAACACACUAAUAAAUAAUUAUUAAUUUAGCUAAUAUUUUAUUAUUAAAUUAGUUAAUUUUUAAUUUAGCUAAUUAGUUAAUAAAAUAAUAUAUAUAAUAUAUUAAUUAAUAAUAUUUUAUUAUUAAACUAGUAGAGGAAUAAAAAAAAAAUUUUGUUAUUCCACCAAAAAGGUGGAAUAACAAAUUUUCCUCUUAACGAAUUAUUCUAAAAUAACCCGUUAAGAAGGAAAUUAAAUAAACUCACUCCCUCUUAUAGUGUUUGGAUGAAUUAGAGGGAUAAAAUGGUCUAUUCCCACUUUAUCCCUCAACCAAAUAAUGCCUAAAAUAAAAUAUUUGAUUAGUUUGUGACGCCACGCCACCAAUGCACCCGGUACAUUCUAGAAUUUUUCCUAAAAUUUAUACUCGUUUUGAAGUGCACCGGUAAUAAUAAUUUUAGACAAAAAGACGGUAAAAUGUUUGUACACCUGUUUCAUAGAAUUGUACAUGUAGAUUUUUCGUUUCAUUAUAUCUGUGGUAAUUAUCUUUCUACAAACACGUAACUAGGCUACACACUAGUAUAUAUAACACAAAGGAAAAUUCAUCACUCACGAUCUCACGCGCAAAUAGUAAAUAAUUCGAUAAUUGAUAUCUAAAAUUCAAGUUCAAAUUUUAAUUAUAUGAUACACAUCACAAAAAAAAAUUUUAAUUAAAUUUUGAUUUUUAGAACUACAAUAAAAAUAUUUAUUAUUUGACUAAAUUACAAAAAAUUUUUCUGUAAUUAUCCGUUUUUUUAUUAUGGCAUUUAAAAACCUACACUUUACUCCCUUAUAAAAUAAAAAAUAUUCACAUGAAAUUACGAUGUGUAAAAUGACCAUUUUGCCCCUGGCCGUUUUCGUCUUUUUUCUCAUCUUUCUCAGCUGCCCCUUCGAUCGGCUGCGAUUUCCAUCUCAAUCGGCCGCGAUUUCUCUUCAUUUCAUUCUCCACCUGCUCCCCUUCUCCUCCUGCACCCUCGCCGCCUCUCGAUUUCGACGAUAGUAGGAAAAAAAUCGAUGUGGGUGUUGAUGGAAAGAUAGGCAAUGACAACGAGGACAAAGACGAGACGGCGGAGGAGGACGAAGGAAAUGUGGGCGAGGGCGAGGCAAUGGAGGACGGCGAGGCGGCGGCGAGGCGGAAGGAGACGAAGCAACAAGAAAGAGAACGAAGGAGUAUUUUCGGCAUAAAAAAAUAUUUUAUAACGGAAUCCUAACGAUAGAGAGUAAAAUGCACAUUUUUAAUUUUACAAUAAGAUAAAGUAUAGAUUUUUAAAUGUCAGAGAAAAAAAAUAAAAAAACAGAUUAUUAUAAAAAAAAAUUUUAUAAUUUAACCUUAUUAUUUUAUCAAUUUGUUGAAAUAUUAUCUUCUUUUGUCCAGCUCAUACUAUCAAUUCAACAAUUUAAAAAUUCAAUUUCUAAUAGAGAUUGAGAAAAAUUAAAAAGACGGAUAUUUACACGGAGGUUUUGUGUAAUUUAGCUUCUUUUGUUUCAUUAGUGUGCGUUUUUUCACCUGAGCCGGGCUGGCGAGGGAAAGACGGCGUCCCAGAUGUCGCCGAAGGCUGUGGUGAUGGCGCGGUGGUGGCGGCGGUCGUUGAGCGAGAGCAAGCAGCGGAGCAGCUGCUCCAGCCCGGCGGCGUCGUAGAUCUCCUUCUCCACCACCAUCUCCGCCAUCGACCGCCGGAAGUCCCCCCGUGGGUCCUCCGACCUCUUCACCACCGCGAAGCUCUCCCCCACCCUCCCCUCAACCGCCACCGCCGCACUCCGCCGCCGGAGAAAUUUCUCCGGCGACGACACCGGCGUCUCCGUCUCGUCGUCGUCGUCCUCCUCCUCCUCCCCCUCCUCCUCCUCCUCGCCGCUCGAGAGCCGCGCGCUCCCCGCGCCGCGGCGCCUCCACCGCGGCCGUCCGCCGUCGGAGUCGAUUUUCCGGCGGGGGGAGGAGUCGCCGUCGCCGGGGGUGACGACGUGCCACUUCUCCUCCCGGCGCCAGAGGUACGCCGGCGCGCCGCCCGCGAGGGGGACCUCGUCGCCGUCGCCGUCGGAGCACAUCUGCCGGCGCCUCCGCCGCGAUCUCCGGCGAUCUGGGGAUAACGGCGUGGGUAACGGCGACGUCGCCGUCGGUGGAGCGGCAGCUGUGGAAGGAGGGGAAAGCGCGGGUUAUCCUGAAACGGAACCGCUUGGCCAUGGGAAACAACACUGCAGUAAUAAGAUCACUGCAGAGGAGGAGGGAGAUUAAAAGUUAAAACAAAAAAAAGAAAACAGAAGAAAAAGGGCGUUGCGAUUAGAAAAGAUGGUGGGCCAUUUUAUACACUCUGCUAGAUUACUUUGGUAGGAAUGUUUGUUACACCGUUGGCUUCAGCUGUGAGGGGUGGUGGGAUGGUGCGUCCUAAAAUAGGAGCCGGCUUGGAAAAAUUUGAUAUUAUCAUUUUUAUAAUUAGAGAAACAGUAAAUGCAUAUCUACUCUUCAAAAAUUAUGAGCCGUUUGACAUUUUAAUUCAUAAAUUUUAUUUUUUUAUAAAUUUUAGUUCUAUAAUCUAUAAUUUAUAAUCCAAUUUAGUUGACUAAAUAUUAAAAUAUUACUAAUGUAAAAGUGAUAUAGCAUUUAUAUUACAUUUUACCACCUUCACAUUAGUGAUAUAUGAAAGUUUGAGCCAUAAUUUAUAAAAAAAAAUUAAAAUUUGGGAACUAAAGUGUCAUCCUCUGAUAGUUUGAGGAGCAAACAUGUAAUUUAUCCUUAGAAAAAUUAUAGCUAAGCGUUUUAGAGGGGAGCAAGCUCAUGCUAAGCUCAGCAAUAUAUCGGGUGAAUUGCACCGAAGUAGUCCGCGGAGUUCUCAUCCACUUUUGCUUUUGUUCUCAAAAUUCUCACUUUAGUUGUUGUCCUAAUUUACAUUAGCAAUGCAGCUAGAAUUUUUUUUACUUUGUAUAGGUCGCAUCUGUAAAACCAUACAUUAUGCAUGGAGCAAUUGUUCUGUAUAUCAAUUCCACGGUUCGUUCUUUAAAUUUUUCUUGCUGCAAAUUUAAAUGGUUGAAUUGAGACUAUGAGAUGAAUAAAGAGCCAAUCAUAUAUAGAAGUACGGCUAGAACUUUUAAACGUAAACGAGAUCAUUUAAUUUGCAUCAUUUUCAACGUCUGAAUUAACGAUUAAUACUGUUAAACACUAUCGUAACUAUCUAAACUUUUUAUGCCUCUAAUUUUAUAAUUUUUAAAAAUAAAUUUUCAAAUAAGCAGAUGGUCUCAAAUAAUCUUAUAAUACUCCUUUGAAAUAGUUAAUUUUGAAAUCAUAUGAAUGCUACGCAAAUAACGCAAUUUAAAACCUAAAGCGUUUAUAUAGUCUAGAUCAAUUUUGGCGGUGGUAAUAGUCAAUCGGACCGUCCUAUCACCAACAAUGACACGAAAGUAUAUAACUUCAUUUAAUUUUUGAAAUAUUCCAGCUUCAUUCAUUCUUUCUUUUUCUUUGCAAGAUUUAUUGGCAAAAAUUUUGAAAGUUUUUUAUUUUUGAGAGAUAGGUAGCAUGUUAGCCGUUUCGUUUAUUUUAUUUUAAAAAUAAACAUAACUGAAAAUAUAAAUCAACUAGGAUUCGAACUUGAGACCUAGGGUAUCACCCACAAAGUCCUUUAAAAUUUUGAGAAUUGUUAAAUACAAAUAAUUACAUUCAAAAUUUCAAGAAUCAAAUUAAAAACUUGAGUAGCAUAGUACAACCAAUACUCUGAAGAUUUGAGUAGCUUCCAGAUGAUUCGUUGCAGUGGAAUCCCAGAAUUCCGCUUCCCACGUGUAAAUAGAGUUGGGCGGGAGUAGAUUUCCAAAUUCCAAGAAAAAAUUGCUUGAACCUUGUGUACUAUUAUACUCUAUGAACCAAAAGGGCAUUUAGUUAGAUGAAAUUGUAAAUGCAUUAUAAUUAAUCUAUAUAGUCAAAAAUAUAUCAGUUAUACUAUACUCUUAUGAAUAUAAUUUUUUUUGUACUCAUAAGUUUUUGACCGCUAGAUCUACUCCUUUUAUCAUUUCCACCCGUUAGAUCAUACUAUUAAACCAACCACCAUUCAACCCUAACAGACCACUAUUGACCUAAUCGGAGACCACUAUCAUCUUAAUCACGCAUCUCUUCAUCCAAUGGUCGAAAAUUUAUGAGUACAAAGAGGGCUAUAUUCAUAAGAGUAUAGUAGCCUUAGCCCAGUUAUAUAUAUAUAUAUAUAUAUAUAUAUAGGGUCCGGCUACUAUCCUAUUAAUAGGAUUGGGACCCUUAUCCUAUUAAGUCGAUUUGAAUGAUCGGAACUUUAAAUUGAAAAUCGGCACCGUUGAAGUUGAUCUACACAAUUAAAAUUGUUUAGAAACCAAAUUUUGUAAUAUUUAAAAAUCAUUAUCAAGUUCAUCUUAAGAGUUAAAAAAUGAACGGUCAUAAAUGAAUAACCUUCUUAAAAUAGAGGUUAGACUUUCUCAGUUUGUAAUCAGAGUUAUCAAAUAUUAUCUAAAUAGUAUAAAGAAUUUUCUAUCAAAAAUUUAAGCAAUUUGGAUUGCUCUAUACCGUUAAACAAGCAAACGGCUCAUAUAGGCUGUCAAAAAUUGUCGAUUUUACGACACUUUGAUCACCAUGUAAACUAUUAUCAAAAUUUAUGAAAUUUAGUUUCCAGAUAUUUCAAAUAUUCUAGAUCAACUUCAACGGCUCCGAUCAUCGAUUUGGAAUCUCGAUCAUCAAAAACAACUUGAUAGGACAAGUGCUCCUAUCCUAUUAAUAGGAUAGUAGCAUUAGCCUAUAUAUAUAUAUAUAUAUAUAUAUAUAUACUAAAAAGUGUUAUAACUAUAAAUAAGUUAUUUGUGACAUAUGGUUCAGAACAAUAUUUUUAAAUUUUAUCACUUUUUAUAUAUAUAAUAGUGAGAUUAUUAUUAAUGUAGAAGAAACAAAAUUUUUUUUUUUAAAUAAAAAUUAUUUUUUAUUUAAAGUUACUCUUUCAAAAUAAUACAAUUGGUAUUAUGACUAGUUUGGACAUAAUUUUUAAUUCUGUUGUUGAUCUUCCUGGUAUAAUUUCAACUAUAGAAAUUAAAUUUAAAUAUAUAAAAAAAACACAAUAUUUAGAUCUAUAUUCAAUUACAAGUUUGCAUCUACAUAUAAUUAAAUAGUUCCUACGAUUUCAUUAUCUAUGCAAUAAAAAUAAGUUUUAUUAUAAGGGUGCGUUUGGUUCGCGCUAUUUUUUAAAGAUUCCUAGUAAUCCAAUAGGAAUAAAAAUAUAUGACGGUGUUUGGCUAAACGCACUAAGUAAUCUAGUUGGUAAUAUUAGAUUCACUUGGGAAUAAGAUUCACACCAAAGUACUAAUCUCAUUCCCUUGAGAGAUGGUGGGUAUCCUCAUAUUAAUGGAUUGGAGUAAUUAUAAUAUGUCUAAUCUCUUUCUUUCUUCCUACCCGCCGGCAAUUGAUAUUAUUUUUCGUUACACUCUAAGGUAUCGUUUGGUUCGGGGAUAAGCAAAAAGUUGGUAUUCCAGGGAUAGGUAUAAAUUGAGGUAUAAGCGGGGAUUAGAUCAAUUUUGCGUUUGGAUGAAAAUUGGGUUAUUCCUGGGAAUAAGAAAAAUAACGUUUGGUUAGGUAAGAUAAAAUAAGAUUUAAAGUGGGUAGUUAUAAAUAAAAAUUAAUAAUAUUAUCACUUUUUUAUUUAUAUUAGAAUUUAAAUAUUUAUAUUUUAUAUUUAUAUUUUAAAAUUUAAAUUUUAACUUUUAAAUUUCAAAUUUUGAAAUUAAAAUUUAAAAUUUAAAAUCUCAAAUUUUAAAUUCAAAAUUUAAAUUUUAAAUUUCUAACUUUAAAUUUAAGAUCAAAUUUAAAUUUGAAAAAAAAUAAAAUUCAAAUUUAAAAUUUCAAAAAUUUAAAAUUUUAAAAUUUAAAUUUAAAAUUUAAAAUGUGGAAUUUAAAAUUAUAAACUUUAAUUUUGAGAUUACAAAUUUUAAAUUUUAAAUAUAAUUUAUUAUAAUAUUUUAAAUUUUAAAUUUAUUUAAAUUUUAAAUUUUAAUUUAUUUUAAUAUUUAAAUAUAAUUUAUUAUAAAAUUUAUUAUAAUAUUUAAAUAUAAAUAAUAUGUAUUAAUAUAGCACAAUUAAUAAUUUUAUUAUAAAAAUAAUGUAUUAUAAUAUAUAAUAUAUUAUAUUUAUAUAAUUUAGUUUUAAUUUAUUUUAUAAUUUUAAUUAAGUUUGAAAUUAAGCAUGAAAAUAGCACUAUUCCACCAAAAUGGUGGAAUAGUAAAAAGCUUGCUAUUCCGGGAUAACCGAGAAUAGCAAGCUUUGACCGGAAUAAAAUAUUUCGGUAAAAAAUGAUCCCGUUUGGCGGAAUAAUGGGGAUAACUUUUGUUAUCCCCGCUUAUCCUCCUAACCAAACGGGGCCUAACCUUAUAUCUCUCUCUAAACUUAUUUUUCUAUCUAAAUUCAACUUUUUUUCUCUCUCUCUUUCUAAAAUUUCAACUCUCUCACUCCCUUUAAUUUCGACUAUAUUUUUCUUCCUAUUUUUUUAAUUAUGCUCUCUCUCUCUCUAACUUAUACUCUCUCUCCCUUUUUUCUAAAAAUAUGUUGAAACUUUUUGUAACAUUAUCUAAAAUUAAUUAAAUAAAUAAAUUAAUUAAUUGUAUAUUUUUUGUAACAUUAAAUAACAUGGCUAAUUAAUAUUACCGUGCGAACCAAACAUAGGAAUUUCACAUUCUUAGUAAUAGAAUGAAUAGGAAUAAGAUUCUCGGAUAUCUUUUAUUCCUAGUAAUCUUUCAUAAUGCGAACCAAACGCACCCUAAUAGGGAUCCAACUGGAAUGUUUCUCGAAGUAAACCGAAGAGUUUACUUUUACAUUGUUUCCAGUGAUGGAAUUUGACUUAACGAGUCACACCGUUAAGCUUAAUUUAGGUCAUUUGAACUUUUUAAAUUUCAAAUUUUAUUAUUUUGUUAUAUAAUUUGUCUAGUAUUCUAGUGGUCUUAAAUUUAAAAAUUUUUAAUGGCUAAUAUAAAAAAAUUUUGAUACUACUUAAUUACUAGGCAAAAAAUAUUCCAAAAUCACAAAAAAUAAAAAUAAAAAUAAAAAAUUUAAAUAGCAUAAAUUAUGUUUAAAGGUAUAGAUCGUGGAUUUAAAUUCUCUACAGGUAGAAAAAAUAUGAAAAUAAAAUUCUCUGUUUACUAUCAAAAGUACUCGCAUCAUUUUUCUAACAUAUAAAAUUUUCAACAGCUUAUAGUCUAUAGAUCCUACGUGUAAAAUAAUUAUAUAUUUUAAAAUAAUCUAUAAUUCAAAUAAUAAGUAUUUUCAAAAAUAAAGAAUAGUAAUAAUACACCCUAAAAGAUGGCGUAGAUCUUAAAACCCCACAUUCGAAAGUUUACAAAUUCUAAUAAAUUUGCUAUAUUAAUAAUUUAAUAAAAUAUUAAAAAUUAUUGACAUUCGAAUGAAAGAAACGCAAGAUUUAUGCUUCUUUUAAAAUGUAUAUAUAAUAUUGUUCUUCAAAGACAUAUAAUUUUUUAAAAUUAAUUACAUACAGCUCUUUGCAAAUAUAUCGAAUAGCAGAUAUAUUCUUAGAAAGUUCAAAUUUUUAUAUUUAUUUUUUUAAAAGUUCUAACGUUUUCAAAUAUACCUCUAUUAUUAAGAUCUGUUAGAAAAAUAUAAUUAACUAUAAAUAAAAUACUUAAUCCUGGUCAGUAAUUAAAUGAGGUAAAUUGACCUUUUUACCCUUCUUAUAUUAUGUGUUAUUGCAAGAAAGAAGAAGAUGAUCGUUGGUAAUUUUUGAAAGGAUAUUUUCACAUAAUUUCAAUUGUUGGAGCUUUUGGAGGGACUUAUUUGUGAUAACAAAAAUAUUAUUUCAUUUAUCUUAUAUUAAAAAAUAAGCAGUACUCUAACAGCAGAGGGCUAAAUAUUUAUAUAACUGAACUUUUGUAAAAAUAAAUAUGAAAAGUUGAACUUUGUAAGAAUAUAUUUGUUAUUCGAUAUUUGUAUAGAAAACUAUAUGAAUUAACCUUUUUUUUGUAUGUGAACUUUUUAAAUAGGGUUAAUUUCAUACAUAUCCCUGCAAAUAUAGUAAAUUACAAAUAUAUUUCUAUAAAUUUCAACUUUUAUAUAUUGUUUCUAGAAAAAUUUUAAUAUUUUCAAAUUUGUCCCCGGCGUUAAAAUCUAUUAGAAAACUUUAAUUAACCAAAGAUUAAAUGCCUAACUUUGGUUAAUUUAUGAGAUAACUGGACUUUUUUUCUCUUAUGUUAUACUGUUGUGGUUUUUGGAGGCACAUAUUUGUGAUUGCAAAAUUGACAUUUAACUAAAAAUAUAAAUAAUUUUAUAACGGUAACAAACCAGAGGAACAUAUUUGAAAAUAUUAUAAUUUUUAUAGAAACAACAUAUAAAAAUUGAACUUUGUAAAGAUAUAUUUAUAAUUUACUAUAGAUUUACAGAGGCAUGAAUGCAUCUAACCUUUUUAAAUAUGUGAUGUGCAGGUACACCAGGUGCAGGCAAUUAUUUCUCGUCGUUCCCCUUCCCCCCAGUGGCCGUAACUGUGCGCGGGAGUUACGAGGCUCCGAAACCGUACCAUCUUUGACGAGUUCCCACGCAACACCCACAUACAAAAGCUCCGCAGAGCCCAAAUAUUCAAACCGAGGAAUCCAUCACCUAUUCGUACCAAAACUGCAUUCACGAAACUCGUCCAAUAGACAAUCGCCACGUGGUUUGAAAGAUAGGACGCCUUGUUUUUUGCGCACGUGGCGUGAUAGUUGUGGGCUGAUGGACUGUACUGAAUUGCAGCGAUGCGUGCGGAAUGGGGGACAUUCGGUUUAAAGGUGGAGAGUGAAAAUUUUUUCGAGACACCCUCAACUGUAGCAAAUUUGAAAUGAGCCCCUGAAGUUUAAUUUUUUUAAUUUAAAAUUUUUAAAUUUUUAAAGAAAUCAGCAUUCUAUCUCAUUAGGAAAUUCGAAUUGGACCGAGUUAUGAUCGAAAUUCUUUAUCUAUUCACAUUAGUUUAAUUAUUGUCCCUUUUUUAACUGUUCGAAUUUUUCGAUUCAACAAUAUAUGUUGAGAUAUUUAUUUGAAUGUCAAAAUGAAGUUGGUUAUAAUUUUUUUUUUUUUUUUUUUUUGUGAUUGAAAGUAUAGUAUUUUAUUUUUGCUCAUUAAAAAAUCUUGACAUAUAUAAUUUAACAAAAUAAUACAUUUCCUACAUGAGAUAGUUGAAUUCAUCUCCGAAUAAAAAAAGUUAAAAUUUCAUACAUAAUUUAUUGUUGACAUUUGAUCAAAUUUUUCAUCAUCUAAAUACCACUACCUUCGUAAGCAAUAAGGAGAAAUACGCUAAAGAAGCUAUGUGUGUAUCCUAACAUAUUUCUAAGGAGAAAAAAAACCAAGCCGCUUAUUUUUAAUCAUACAAAAAAAAUUGGCCUUUUUAUAAAAAAAAUUACUAAUUUUAUAUUUUUGCAUAUUCCAACCAAUUAUUUUAAAAAUAAAUCAAAAUAUUCCUAUGUCUUAAAUACCUAAUAUAUCAUUUCUUUGCUCUUUCCGGAUCUAUGUCUCCACCGUUGGUAGUAUUCACGAGCGCUCAUCUUAUUUUUGCCAUCUCCACACCAAUUAUAUUGUCGCGUUCACCUCAUGGUGCUCCUUACAAGAAAAAGGAAGAUGGUGAAACUUGAUCCGCUAGUCGUCGUGGCCACUCAUAGCCUCACUUGAGAUGGAGAAAAUGCAGCAAACAAGGAGGGUGAUGCUGAUCAAGAAUACUUCCAAAGCUUGUUAAUGAAGCUAAGUGUAGCCGACAUUGGGAAGAUGGUGGCGAUAGUGUGAGAGGAGAAUCUAAGGUACAACAUAAUGUUACACUAUUUGAAUAUAUAUUACACUAUUUAGUAAAAAAAAUUACACAAUUUUAUAUUUUAUUUUAUGUAUUAAAUAAUAUAACUUUGUUACUAAAUAAUUCUUCAUGUGUUCAGAGUUCAGAUAGUGCAACAUUGCGUCGUUUCUCAUAUUUUUCUUCUCUUGUUGCCGCCGCUAGUUUGUCAUCGUCGAUCACGCUCAUAAAGCCCUCGAGAAUCUAUUUCAGAAGCAUUCUUAACCAAUGAUCAUCGCCUUUUACCUCUGCCGCCUUCGUCUCCAUCUCCAAAACGUCAGUCUCGUCUCUACCGCCGCAAUCUGGCUGGCGAUUGCCAAAAACGGCAACAGCCACGAGCUAAGUUCGUCAUCGUUCUCUCACUCGAGGGUGAGGUAACAGAAAAGUGCAGUGAUGAUGCAGAGACAAUGGGAGAAAAAAAGAGCUAAAAGAUAAAAAAAAAAUAUGUGUAUUUUGAUUGGUUUGAAAAAAAUCGAUCAAAUAUAUAAAAAUAAAAAGAAUAGUUUAUUUUUAUAAAAUCGCAAAACUACUGAUUUUUUUCUUUUUUUUUUUAGCACAAGGGCUAGAAAAAUUUUCAUGGGGUUGUCGAUAUUCAGGAGAAGAAUAAAAGGGGAAAAAAAAGUGACUAAGUCAAUUUAAAAAUAACGCAUAGUUGAAGGGUAUACUUACAUAUUUACCUACGUUUUGGCCGUUUGGGGAAGUUAUAAUAAUAAUAAUAAUAAUAAUAAUAAAACAUUAAAAAAAAAAAAAAAAAACACUACGCCUGAGGGGGACUUUGAGUUUGAAGUAGGCACGGUGACAACGCGGAUACAGCGAGUAGGGGGCCACGCCACAGCGCCACGUGGCGAUAAUCCAACGGAUACACGACAACACGGUCUCGCUCUCUACAUCCCCCUCUCUCUCCAUCACAUCCGAACUGGAGCCCACGGUGCACCGCACCCUCGUCGUGUUCCUCGUUGUCCGCGGUCCGUCCGAUCUCGAUCGGAGGGCGGGGGUGUCUCCUCGUAGUCAAACCUGUUGCCUCGCUUGGGAGGGCCCCGCACUGGGACGUCCGAUCGCGUCUUGAGUGGACGGCUACGAUUGAGACGGGGCGUGGAUAACACUUCGUACCUGGAACCCGCACGCGAAAGUUUAUGCGGACGCGCUCGGCGGUUUUUGAUCGAGUAAAUGGGCGGUUGGGAUUUUACGGACCGCUAUAAAUAGGCAUGUGAGAAAUAAAAUUUAUUGUAUAGCACUUUCUCUUUCACCAUAUUAUUUAUAAUUAAUUUAUUAUAUUUUUUUAAAAUAAUAAUAAUAAUAUUUUUUAUAAAAUUAUGAUGAAUGAAUAAAUUUUAGAAAAUUAAUUUAAUUAAUUAGAAACUUAUAUUAAUAACGUCACUACGGUAUUCUUAAAAAUUUCGCGACUUUGAGGAGGAUUUUUUAAAGAUUUUUCUUAUGCGGUUGUCCGUACGAAGCAGGGCAUGGGUUUGCGGUCUCUUUGACUUGGUGGUUGGUACAAUAGUGUUUAUUAGUGAUGCAAACGGAACGGAUCCGUGGCCGACGGGUUUUCUCACCUUUCGUGUUAUAUUUUUUUGUUGGAAUAUUUUUUAUUUUAUUUUUGAUUUUUACUUACUGUUCAAUUCGAAACUUUUAAGCAUCCGUUUAGUUCGGGGUUAAGAGGUUAUUCCACCUCUUAACCCCGAAGUUAUUUUCAAAUAUCUAAUUUGGGAGGUGGGGUUAGCUAAUCCUAUUCCAAAUGGACUAUCCCGAUAACCCCACCCUACCCUACCACUCCAAUCAAAUAAAAUACUAUUUUACCCACUAUUCUUCUUAUUCCACCUACUCCAACUAAAUACUAUUUUACCUAUAUCUGAAAUAAACCAAAUUCUCAACCAAACACAAAAUUACUCUAACCCCACCUUAAUCCUGAACUUAACUCUAUCCUUGGAAUCAUAAGUUUUUACUUAACCCCGAACUAAAUGGUGGCUUACUUAUUGUCUCAUUCGAGACGGAUCAGGACGAGAGUAAAUUUUUGGCGAAUUUUUGACGGAUCUUAGCGAAAUUGAAGAAAGAAAAGAGUCUUCCGCCUCCCAUUCCAUUUACUUAACGAAUCGGAGCGAAUUUGGGGCGGGUUAUAAUUUUCUAUAUUUGUUGUUCUCACUUACCACCUAUUUGGAACAAGUCGGGGCAGCAGCUCUACCAAUCCAAAUCCAUUUGCAUCCCUACUGUUCAAUCGCUACAGUCAAAUCUCUCGGCAUGUGGAUUUUAGGGCCUAUCCGUUUAAAAUUAAAAACAGUUUUUAGUUAAAUAAUAAAUUAGAUGCAAAUUAUUUCUUUCAUUGUUGUUUAUUUGGUAGAGAAUUAAUAAUUUUUCCCGUAAUUUUUUUUUCCAUUUUUGUGUUUGUGUUAUGAAAACAUUUUACACCACCACAUAAAAUAUAAAAUAACUAAAUUUUUUAAUUUGUUUUCAUAUUAACAUUGUCACAACUCAAAACAAAGUCAACUAGGAUAUUUUUUAAAAAGGAGAGGUUACAUGUGAAUUUAGUUUAUGGCGAAUUAAAUACCGAAAGUGAAUAUUUACAACGAAAAAUCACUUUCCCUUUUUAUAUGUUUAGUGAAACAAAUAUGCUGGCGUAAGUAUGAAACGGUUAUUUAAAACUAAUAAGUUAGUUAGCUAAUUAACAAUAAAAAUAAGAGUAAUUACAACUUCCAAAUAAAAUAUUUUUCUAAUUAAUAAACUUCAAAGUACUGAUAAAAUAAUAAGUUAAUUAGUUAGCUAAUUAACUAUAAAAAGUUAAUAUGUUAGUUACUAAAUAAAUAAUCUAGUUAGGUAGAUAAUUAGUUAACAGAUUAAUUAAAUUCGUCAAAAUAUUAUAAUUUAAUAAAUAUUAAUAUUAAUUAAUGGAUAAGCGCAUAAAAUAAUUAAUUAUUUAAUUAUUUAGUUAAUUAUGAACAAAAAAAAUUAAUGGCUUAAGCAGUUAGGUAAAAAUUUAUCAUUUUCCAGACGGGUGCUGUGAAGGCAAAGUAGGACAAAAAUUGUGCGGGAAGGGUUUUCCAAAUUAUCCAUUUGAGGGCAAGAUUUUUUUUGCGGCCUAGUCUGUGGAUCUCACGUCGCGUGGCAAUUUGGUAAGAUAGUUGAAAUUUACUUUUCUUCAACUAUUAGCGGAUUCAAAAUAUUUUUAGACCCAAAAAUAAUAAAAAUUAUAACAAAAAUAAAAAUUAAGUAUUAACUAAAUACUGUUUAGUGGAUUCGAAUUCGAGCUAACCAUAGAGUAGACCUGGCUGGAUUCGAAUUCGAGCACUCAUUUCCGGAGCCCGGCCCGUACUGUUUAGUGGGCUUCGGGCUGGACCGACGUGAGAUUCUAGAACCCAGGCCUAAAGUCCAAAAUAUGUCAGGCAUUUCUUACACCCAUGUUUUAAAGUAAAUCCUACAUUAAGUAUAAAUUUAUAUAAUAAAAAAUUUAAUUAAAGAGUAUAAUGCUAUAACAAUAGUAUAAUAUGCAUUUAUUUAUGUAGAUAUUUGUAUGUUUGUGUAAUCGUGUGUGCGGCCCCCUCUCGCACACAUAAAUAGAUAUAUUCAUGCGCAGAAUAAUAAUAACUAAAAAAAGGUGGAAUUGGGCUCAAAUGGUAUAUUAUUCAUGAGGGAUUCUAACCAUUUAUAUCAUACAAGUAUAAGACAUGCAUAGUAAGUAUCAAUCAAUCAACCCAAAAAGAAAAAAGAAUAAAUAAUAAAUAUGGUACAUAAUUAAGGAGAAUAUGGAAAGUAAAUGAGAGCACAUAUGGUAGUAACCACAGGUUCAGAGGUAGUCGGCAUCACAAAAUGCCCAAAUAAUAGGAGCUGAUGAAUUGUGAAGAAGUAGACCAUGAUAUAAUGUGUUUCGAAUAUAUUGCAGAAUUCGUAGGACCGCAACAUAAUGAGUUGUUUGGGAAACUAACAUAAACUGACUAACAAUUUGAAUAGCAUAACUGAUAUUGGGCAUAAUAAUUGUAAGAUAAUUGAGACUACCAACCAAUUGUCGAUAGAGAGUUGGAUCGGAAAGAAAUGUGCCACCAGUAGGCUGAAGUUUGACAUGAAGUUGGAGUGGAGUGUCGGUUGUUUGCUGUCAGUUAAUCCAGCACGAAAAAGUAGUUCAGAAGCAUAUUUUACUUUGGAAAGAAAUAGACCUUUAGUUUGAUAAUCUAUUUCAAUUAUAAGAAAAUAGUGAACUUGUCCAAGAUCUUUUAUUUCAAAAUGUUUAUUGAGCUGGUGUUUGAUAUCAAAAAUUCCCUUCAUACCAUCACCUGUAAUAACCAUAUCAUCAACAUAUAAAAAAAGACCGACUUUCUCUAACGCAAGUGGCAAAGGGUUUGGUGGUUGGUACCCGAGGUCCCAAGUUCGAAUCCUAGUUGAUUCAAAUUUCAAGCUAAAUUUAUUUCUAAAUGAAAUAAAUGAAGCCGGUAACAUGCUACCUAUCUCUAAAAAAAAAAAACAUAUAAAAAAAGAACAAACAUAGCAGAGUCAUGAUUGCUUUGAGAUUAAAAGCCCUGCUGGAGGAUGGUACAAUGAAACUUCUCAAACCAUGCUCUUGGAGCUUGUUUAAAACCAUACAAAUUAAGCUUUGCGAUGCUUACACAUAUAUUGUGGAGGAUGAGAUAAGCCCAGAGGAGUCAUAUAUAUAUACUUCAUCAGAAAGAUCACCAUUUAAAAAUGCAUUCUUGACAUCUAUCUAGUAAAGUUUCUAACUCUGAAUAGAUACCACAGCCAACAGACUAAGCACAGUAGUCAUUCGUGCGACAGGAGCAAAUGUUUCCUCGUAAUCGAUUCCAUAUUCUUGGGAAAAGCCUUUAGCAAUGAGUCGUGCCUUAUCUCAUUCUAUAGAACCAUCUAAUUUGGUUUUAAUUUUAUAGAUCCAUUUAUACCCAAUAGCAAAUUUUUCCAGUGACAAUUUAACAAGCUCCCAAGUAUUGGUCUUUUGAAGAGCAGUGAGUUCCUCAUUCAUGGCUUGUUGCCAUUUAAGAUCAGAGAAGGUUUCAUAGUACGAUUUGGGUUUAUAGUGGGAGAAAAUAGAGGAUAGGUAACAAUAAUAGUCAUUGAGAUAACUUGGUGGUUGUCUUUUGCGAGUUGGAUGAGAUCUUUCUGGUUGCAUAUUGUCUAGAUUGCUAGAUGGGCAAGAAGGGUUGAGACAAAGAUCAUGUUGACCAUUGGCGGUUGUUUGUAAGGGAAUAUCAGAUGAGGAACUCUGUUGAAAUAGGUCUAACAGUGGAGAAUUGGAUGAAAACUUUGAUGCUGAAAGUGUGAAGAAAUUUAUUCCCCAAAUGUGAGAUGACUAGAGAUACACAAUUUUUUAGCAAUAGGGUCAUAACACCUAUAGCCUUAAUUUUGUUGAAGUCCAUUACCAAGAAAGACACAUAUAGCAGUUUUCUUGGUUAGUUUGUUGCACUCUCUUUUAGGUAGAAGAACAAAACAUGUAGAACCAAAAAUACGAAGAUGUGAGUAAUCUGGACUAACAUUAUGAAAACGUUGAAAAAGGGUUUCAUCAUUUAUGAUAGGUGAAGGAAACGAUUGAUAAUAUAAACAGUAGUAAGUAUAGCUUCACUCCAAAUUUCUUAGGAACAGAAGCCGAAAGAAGUAGAGUGUGUGCAGUUUCAAUAAUGUGACAGUGUUUUCUUUUAGAAACUCCAUUUAGUUGAGGUGUCUCAACACAAGAUAAAUGAGAAAGAGUACCUUGAUAUAUAGGGUAUUAUUUGAAAGCAUGUGAUAUAUAUACUCCGCCAGAAUCAGAUCAAAAAUUUUUUAUAGCUUUUGAAAACUGGUUUUUUAUCAUAGUUGAAAAUUCUAUGUAAAUAUUUAAAAAGUCAGCUCAAUUAUGCACCAAAUAUAUCCAUGCAUAGUGGGUGUAAUCAUCUACAAAUAUAGCAUAAUAAUGUGCAGCUCCCAUUGAGGGCAUAGGAGCUGGUCCCUAAAUAUCAAAGUGAACGAAAUCAAAUGGAGCAAAAGUUACAGAUUCACUAAAGGAGCAUUUAGUUAGAUGUAAUUAUAAAUGCAAUGUAGUUAUAGAUGCAUGUAGUUGAAAAUAUAACAGUUACAACUAUAUACAUUCUGUUUGGUUGGAUGUAGUAGAAAGUGCUGCAAAUAUAAAUAAUUUAUUUGAUUGCACGCAGUUGAGAAAUAAUUUUUAAAAUUUUAUCAUUUUAUAUAAUAUGAUAGUGAGAUUGCAUCCAAUGCAAAAAAGAAAAUUUUUUUUGUUUAAAAAAUAAUUAAGUAGGUAAGUAUACUUUUUAUUUAAAGUUACUCUCUCCAAUUACUGUAGUUGGAGCUACGGUCAACUUGGGUGUAGUUCGAAUUGUUGCAAUUGAGCCUCCUCCUGCAAUUCCUACUACAGCAGUUAGAAUUAAAUACAUCAAACCAAACACUGAAUUUGCAUUUGCAUGCAGUUACAACUACAGUGCAGUUGCAACUACAUGCAACAAAACGGCCCCUAACAGUAAAAGCAAGUGCAUGUUGUUUGGCAAGUUUGCAAUCAGCACAACAAAAGUCUUUAUUGAAAGAUACAUAUCCUAAUAAUCCUUUAUUAACCAAAAACUUAAGGCAAGAAAAGGAAACAUGUAAGUCUUUGAUGCCAAAAUUUAGAUGUAGAAGAAAAAGGAAAGAGAAGAGGAAGUAGUAGAAGAGACAGCACAAUAAGUACCCUGGGGAGAGAGAUGAAGAUUAUCAACGACAGCCAACCAGCCAACUCUAUGCCCUGUCGCAACUUGCUUCCCCGUCUUGCAAUCUUGUACAAUUACAACCAGAUAAAUUAAAUAUUUUAGUAAAACCAAGUUCACAAAGUUGUCUAACUAAAAUUAAAUUCAUAGAAAGUUUAGGUACAAGAAGUGUAUUUGGUAAAGAUAGGUUUUCAGAUUGAAGAAGGCCAAUGUGAGUGGCAAUGACGAUAGAGCCAUCGGCUAUUCAAAUUAUAGGAGAUGAUACUGUAGUUGUAUGUUUAGUAAUGCAUGAAGGAUCAUAUGUAAUGUGGUUGGAGGCACCGGAAUUGAAAAACCAAGAAGUAGGAUAAAUACUUGAUGGAGUAGAAGAAGCUGACAAAGAUGAAUUUGUACCAAUAUAUACUAAGAGCUUGUUUAAUCAUUGCCUAUACAUCAUCUGCAGCGAGUAUAGUGGAUAUAGAAGAACAUGCAGAGUUGCAAGAUUGUGGCAACCAAUGAUCAGACAUUGUCGCAGCCUUUUGCUGAUAUAUGUACUUCUUCUUGUUCUACAUAUUGCGAGAAGUUGGUGCUGUACAAAAUUUAACAGUAUGUCCAAACUGCUUGCAGUAGUUGCAUUGCACUUGUGGCAAGUCACGCGGUGGACGUAAGUUUGGUGUAGCGAGGUUGGAUCGCACGUCACGAUGCGCAUCAGAAAAUGGCUUAUAACGAGGGGAGGCAGAAGUAGCAAGACCAGAGGAAUUGUAUGAAAAAUAAAAAUUAACAGUACCUUUGCUUGUUUCUUCAGCAAUUAACUUUGAAGGAGCCACAUCAACAGUAGGAAGCGGUGUGCGAUAAGGAAUAGAGGUACGUACGUACAGAUUCGUAAUCAUCUUGUAAAAGCCAGGAGAAAUUAGACAAGUCGAGUUUCUUCAAGUAUCAGCUGAUACUGAUAGUAAAGAUCAGUAUCAGCUGUCAACUUUGGCUCAGUUAAUGCUAAUUGGUCCCAAAUGAAGGACAUCUGAGAGUGAAAAUCUGAUACGGAUUGGCCCUUCUGUUGCUUCAUUAUACGAAUAUCCAUUUCAAGUUUGUAUUUGCAUGCAAAAUUGGUUUGAUUAUAUAGGGUCGAUAAAAAAUCCCAAACCUCUUUUGCAUUAUCAAAGUUUUUGAAUUGCAUACUAAUAGUAGGACUAACAGCAUUAGCAAUCCAUGUUAAUAUUUUAUUGUUAUUAGUUUCCUACUUUUCAAUAGCAUCAGAGAUGCAUUCAUCACAUUUGUAUUCUCCGUAAAGUACUUCCAAAGAACUUUUCCUUUCAGAAAACUUCUCAUAAGAAAAGCCCAGUGUGUAUAUAUAGUUGGUGCCCUCAAGUUUAACAAUAAUAGGUUGUGCUGACUCCAAAUUCAUUAUGUGGAGAUAAAAAAAGAGAGAGGUUACCAAAAAUAGUUGGGAGUUUUGGUUAUAAGAGAGAGGUGCAUUCAUUGCCUUAAUAUAAGAUUAUUUGCCUUAAUACAGAACGCAAACAAACUGUUUUGUGCCUAAAUAAUUUUAUUUUUAUCAACACUUAUAAUAAGAAACUAUACCACACUUUCAUUGAGAGGCUACGACGCAUGCAUUGUAUGCUCUGAGGUUACUUCAUAGGCAUUAUGGAUCAUGAACUUUAUUUCAGAAUUUAAAAUUAUUGACCUUUAUCUCUAAACCUUUUAAGGACAUGUUUAUUUUAAGUUAGAAAACGGAAUAGAAACUUGAAAGAACCAGAACAGGAGACAGAGUGAUAAAAUGCCUCUAUUUGUUUGGCUUGAAACAGUAAUUGGAAUGAGAAUAAUUCAUUUUCAUUAUAACUGUUUGGAUAAGUAAACAGUAAUGAUUUGAACAACAUAGAUUCACAAUGUCAACAAUAUAAAAUUUGAUUUUAAAUUUGUGUUGAAAUUUGAAUUCAAUAAUUCAAAUUCAUAUUCAAUUCCAAAUUUAAAAGUAAAAUUAAAUGUAGAAAACAAACUUAAAUUAAAUUUAACUUUUGACUAAAAAAAUUAAAUUUUAAUUAGAAUACAAAUUUACUAUCUAAAUUUGUUUUCAAAAUUUGAAUGCAAAUUUAGACUCAUAAUUUAAACUUAAAAUUUAAAUCAAAUUUGAAGAAAAUUCAAAUAACAUAAUUUAAAUAUAAUUCAAAUUCAAAUUCAAAUCAAAAUUCAAAAUUGGAACUACAAAUUAAAAAAUCAAACUUAUAUUAGAAUUCAAAUUUAAACUUAAGAAUUAGAACUCAAAUUUAAAUUUAUGUUUAUAAUUUUAAUUUUGAAUUUAUAAUAUAAUAUGAAUUUAGUUUAAAUUAAUCAGUAUUUGAAUGUAACAAAUUGGUAGUGAAAAAAAAGAAGAAGAAGAAAAAGAAGAAGAAAUGGGUUUUUUUUUUUUUUUUCCAAUCCCUUUUGGAAUCAAUGUAGACUCCAACCUUCAUGGUGGGAGGCAUUUUGAGAGAAUUGGAUUCUCCUCAAAUGAAAAUUGAAAUGUGAAUCUCUUGAAUCAAACAUCGACAAUAGGAGUUACAUUUUUUUAUUCUCAUUCUAACCGUAAGAUCUUUUAAAUCAAACACGCCCUAAAGGUUUAAGGCGAUAAUUUUUAUUGUUCUUCUCUCUGACAAUAAUACAAUUACGAAUAUUAAUUAAUAAGUAUUUUGAAAUAAAGCUGUGCCCGACUCUAGAAAGAAUUGAGAAUUGUAAGAUGUCACUUAAACACCUCAAUAUAAACUUAUAAUUUCAUACCUCAUAAUUUAGGCUUUACCAUCUCACUUUUUUUUUUUUUUUUUUGAGAGAGAGAUAGGUAGCAUGCUACCCGCUUUGUUUAUUUCAUUUAGAAAUAAACUUAGCUGGAAAUGUGAAUCAACUAUAAUUCGAACUUGGGUCUCGGAUACCAACCAUCAAGCCCUUUGCCACUUGCUCUAGGAACGGUCAGUAAUUAAGGCUUUACCAUUUGAUCUGUCAUUUAAACAACUUUGAGAUUUAUGCUAUUUCACUAUAACAGAAGUAGGUUAUAGGGACACAUGUUUGGGACACUUUUAAGUAAGUAUCUCAUUUAUACUAAAACUUAAAAAAACAUUUACUAAUGCCUAAAUAUAAAGCCCAAUCCAACCAAAAAUAAAAGAUUACUCUACUCAACCCACCACACCCAGUCUAUUUGGCCUAAUUACAAAUAGAAAAGAAAAAAAAAGAAAAAUCAAUUACCAUCUUUUCUUCUCUUUUUACUCAAUCUACUGAAAUUCUAGACGAAGAGUCUUUCCUGUCGUCCUCCUCUGCCACUGCAGCCAACGAAAUAGAGUUUCGACGGUUGCUAAAUGCUUAAAUAAGUGUUUGUAAAUUAGCAGCACUCUUUUAUGUUAUAGCGACACCUUUUAAUUGUCACUAUAUACCUAGCGACCCCACAUAUAGCAACACUUUUUAAAAGUGUCGGUAAUUUUAGCUAGCAGCACUUUUUUGACAUGUACCUAUAUUUAAAAGUGUCGCUAUAGAUCGUUUUUGUUGUAGUGAAUUGUAUAAGAAAUGACGAAUAAACUAGUCUCUUGGAGACUAUCCCUAACAAUUUUUUAAUCUAUUUUUAUCUUAAAAAAAUAUUCUAGAUAGAAAUAAUAUUCAAUCAAAAACUUUAUAUUCCACUGAAAUAUAAUAAUUUUUUUAAAAGUAUUAUACUUUGAUAAAAUUCUUUUUUAUAUUAUAUGGUAAAAAAAUUAAAUUUAAAUACAUUUCCUAGGCUUAGGUCCACACCUCUCUUUUUAGGGUUAAUUUUUUUUAUGCCCUUCCAAAAAUUUAUAAUUUCAUUAAAUUGAAUAGAGAGGUAUUAGUGAUAAAUUUGUAUGUUUAAAAGGGUAUAAAUGAUAGUUUGAAUUUUGGAGGAUAAUGAUGACAAUUUGAAGUUUUGGAGGGGUAAGUUGAAAAUUUCCCUUCUUUUUAAAGUUGUAGCGUAGAAAAACGGUGCUCUGGUCAAACGAAACUUUCCCAUCGACACAAUUUCAUUGUUUUCGACACGUCAUCCCCAACGUCACCACUCACUCUCUCUCUCUGAUCCUGUGUUCACCCUCCCCCUACGGAGCACCCUCGUACGCCGAUCAUCACCGUCCAUGUUUUAAUGAACGGCCACGAUUAGCAUCUCAUGGAAAACAACAUUUCUUGCACAAAAUACCUAUUAUCUUCGAUGAUUAUUAUUAUUAUUAUUAUACGCUAACCCCCACGUACGAUUAUUAUUUUGACUAUUGCAUAAAUUCUACUAUGGAGAUGUCAACAUUUGAGUCUACAUUAUUCGUGAGUUUACAAUUUAAUAUACUAAUUCCUUUCAAAGAAUAAUUUGUUAUGUUCUUAACGCUACUUAGAACUCCAUUUGAGACCGAAGAGCACCUCACGUACACUGCAAAUACUUUUUUAUUCAAUCUUAUUAAAUUUUUAUAUUAUAAAAUAUAUUUUAGAUGAUACUUUUUAGAUGAUGUUUUAUUCUAACAUCUUCAAUAUUUGUCAUGUGCUGACAUCAUGAAUAUGUGUUACCAACGAACAUAUUUUUGUGAAGUACGGAUAAAAAUUUUCCGAACACAAUAUUAAAACAUCGGUAUAUUUAUCCAAAUAUAGUUACUUAAUGAUUAGCUCUUUACUUGAUGCUUUUACAAGCAUCGGGACUAUUGCUACCAACAUAUUAAAGUGCCGUUAGUUAUUUUUUAAAGUAUCGUUAAAUAAAUAUUUUGUUGUAGUACAUGAAUUGAACAAAAAAAUUUAGAUUGAAACAUAUUUUAAAUUACCGACCGUCUUUGGAGCAAGUGACAAAUGGCUUGGUAGUUGGUACCCGAGGUCCCAAGUUCGAAUCCUAGUUGAUUCACAUUUCCAACUAAGUUUAUUUCUAAAUGAAAUAAACGAAACAGAUAGUGUGUUACCUAUCUUUCAAAAUAAUAUACAUAUAUUUUAAAAUUUGAACACGCUGUUUUGACGAGAAAUAUUUCGGAAGUUAUUUAACAUAGCGACAUUGUACAAGGUCACCAAAAUAUAUAUAUAUAUAUAUAUAUAUAUAUAUAUAUAUAUAUAUAUAUAUAUAUAUAUAUAUAUAUAUAUAUAUAUAUAUAUAUUGGAGACACCUGUUGGGCCAAUAAGGCGCGGACACAUGGUACCUCGGUAUAGCACAACAGUUACAUUUAAGAGUGGUAAUUUUUGUUGUGCACCGGGCGCAUCAAAAAAAGAGUACUGGCAUGAAUUAAGAGAGGUUACAGUAACCGUGAGCAGUUACAGGCGAUUUUGAUCGGCUGAAAGUGGCCCGAGAAAAUAGGAAUAGUGGCUGAUCAUGGAAGGCAAUAACUGAUCAACUGGGGUGAUCUAUAAAUAGGCCAAUAAUGACCUAAAAAAAGGUCUUUUCACUGUGAACAGAAGACCACCCUUAUUUUCUAUGUAAUUUCUUCGCAUUUUUUAGGAGUAGUUCUACUUGUAAUCUUUCAUUUUUCAGUAUUUACCAUUUUUUCUCUAGGAGUAGAAGUAGACUAGAUCAACCGCGUCUGUAUGCCCAUAGGCACACUCGAUCCCUGUAUUCUUUUCACCAAUUAGUUUCAAUAUAUUUAAAUGUUUUCGGCUAUUCAAGCCGACCAAUCACUGUAUUUUCUUCCAUUCGACUCUUCGGCCGACCUUAGUUUCUGUGCCGUCCGUACAUUCGGCUCAUCCAGCCGAAUCAAUUCUACAGUAGAGAUUUUGAACUCGGCUGAUUCGAUCUCUUGUCAGUCGAAUCGCUUGAUCCAGUCGAAAGACGCAAACUUCGAGGUCACAAUUCGAAGCCGUUUUGCUUCCUUGCAUUAUUUCCGAGGAGAAUUUUUGACCAGAUAAAAAAUAAGGACUUUUGGCUACCAACAAUACCAAAAGGGCCCCACAGGGCUUGAGGAAAGAUUAAAUAGGAAAAAAAAAAAGGUGAGCUUCGGUAAAAUAGUAAAAUGAUGGUCAUCGGGAUUGUAUUUGUGGAUAUGUGAGGGCCCACUUUUAUAAUACCAACUCCGCAAGAAAUCUCGCGUAAAUUUGUCGAAAAAAAAAACUCGCAUAUGGGCUGCUCCAAUUCGCGCGCUCGCGCACCACUCUACGUUUCCAAUUUCUCCUGCACCGUCGGAUCUCGAUCCAACGGCUUGCGAAUUGUUGGUUCCUCGCCAAGUCGCACUCAUGGACCCCACCGCACGACGUAUGCGAUUGCGAAUGCUCGCACUCUCCAUAACAAUUGUUAUAGAAAAAAAAAGAAAAUGGUAAACAUGUGUGGAGACCCCUCAACUAUCGUUCGUUUGAAAUUAGCCCUUUAACUUUUCCAUUUUUUUGGAUUGAGAUUUUCUUUACUUUUAUUUUUUUAAAAGAAAAUUUUGGUUACUUUUAGUUGAAAAUUUUGUUAAAAUUUAUAGUUCUAUUAGUCAUUGAUUACUAAUUAUUUUAGUUUUAUUUACUAAAAAUAGUUGUAAUGAUUAAAUUUAUUAAAUUAAAAAAGUUUAUAAGUAUGGAGAUCUCGAUAAAAGAUUUAAAGUUGGGAGGGUCGUUUUCAAAAUGAUCAACAGUGGAGAGAUUUUUGAUACAUUUUUUUCUAAUAGUAUCAGAACAAUGGCUAUGGACCUAUGGUACACUCCACAAAAAAAAAAAAAAAAAAAAAAAAAAAAAAAAAAAAAAAAUAUAUAUAAUAUAUAUAUAUAAUAUAUAUAUAUAAUAUAUAUAUAUAUAUAUAUAUAUAUAUAUCUUUUAUUAAAUCUAUUUUAAAUUAUAAAUCUAGUAUUUACUGGAACUCCUCUUGUGUCCCCCCUACGACCAGCCAUCUCUCUCGUAAUAUUUUCCACUCUGUUUGUUUUUUUAAAAAAAAAUAUUUUUUUUAAAAGAGAAUAAUAAUAAUAAAAAUAGGACAGAAGAAAUAAAUAACCAAAUAAUCAAUCUGCUUUCUUUGAAACUUCUCCCCCAAUAUUGCUCCCAAUUCUCGGCUCCUAUAUAAUCCCCAAUCCUUCUCACUGCCCCCAAACACGAUCCCUUCUUCUCGCUUCCGUCUGUCUCCUUCUUCGACAUGGCCGCCUGCGUCGAGAACUGUCGGACCAAGUCGACCUUCCUCUGCUGGACGACCGCCGCCGCCGCCGCCGCCGCCGGCGACUCCUCCUGCAAAUUCUCCGUCUGCUCUCCGCGAAGGAGCUGUACAACUCCCAUCGAUCAAUACAGCGACGGUGCUGCUGCCGGCGACGACGACGAAGUGUGGGCUGAGCUGCGGGACGAAGCGCGGUCGGACGUGGAGGACGAGCCGAUCUUGCGGCAGUACUACUCCGACCUCAUCCUCUCCCACCGCUGCCUGGAGUCGGCGCUGGCCGCGCACCUGGCGGGCAAGCUGUGCGUGCCGGGCGUGGUGGCCAGCGGCACGCUGUACGACCUGCUGUUCUCCGCGCUCGCCGGCCGACCUGCGGGCGGCGCGCGACCGCGACCCGGCGUGCGCGAAGAUGGUGCACUGCUUCCUGUACUACAAGGGGUUCCUGGCGCUGCAGGCGCACCGGGCGGCGCACCGGCUGUGGGGGGAGGGGCGGAGGGCGGCGGCGCUGCUGCUGCAGGGGCGCGCGUCGGAGGCGUUCGCGGUGGACAUCCACCCCGGGGCGGCGGUCGGGGAAGGGGUGCUGCUCGACCACGCCACCGGGGUGGUGAUCGGGGAGACGGCGGUGGUGGGGAGCGACGUGUCGAUACUGCAUGGGGUCACGCUCGGGGGCACCGGGAAAGAGAGCGGCGACCGGCACCCGAAGAUCGGGGACGGGGUGCUGAUCGGCGCGGGUACGCACAUCCUGGGCAAUAUAAGGAUCGGGGACGGGGCGAAGAUCGGGGCCGGGUCGGUGGUGCUGAAGGAGGUGCCGGCGCGGACGACGGCGGUGGGGAACCCGGCCAGGCUGGUCGGAGGGAAGGAGAGCCCGGUCCUGUCGGAGGGGUUGGCGGGCUUGACCAUGGACCAAACCUCAUGGUCUCGUGAUUUGUUGUAAACUGAUCAAUUAAAAAUGUAUCUGUUCUAUCAGUUAUACAUCUAUACGUUCCUUCCCAAUGCGGAGUGUGGGCAAGUAGGCCUAAGAGGUUUGGGAGUUCAGUGAGUCAUUGAGCUCCUCUGUUCCACUUUCACAAUAAAACGUGUAAUAUUGGUGUACCAAGAACCAGAUUAAUAGAAUUUAAGCAUUCAGUAGUUAACCAGAAUUGAUAGUAUUAAAUGAGGGAUUCAAAGCACUUAUUCAAUGUUUAGAAGUCAAAGAAAGAAACUUUUUUAAAAAAGAACUUUUCUUUUUAUCUCUUUUUCCUCAUCCUUGCACUUAACUGCUGGUGUACAGUGUUGCGACUUUGGUCACAAUCUUAACCUCAAUCUAUGAGUUUACUAAAAGUAGAUCAUGUCAAAUUUAAUUGAUCAAGACGGUUAGGGUUGGGCUGAAAAUGAAUUGGAUUAUUUAGAUCCUUCACUAGAAGUCACAUUAACACUGAACCAUAAAGUAAUGCACUAACUGUCAGCUCUAAUGAUCCAACCAAUCCAAAAUUAGAUUUAUUGGACUGAGAUUUUUCAACCUUAAUAUAGUAUAUAUACUAGUAUAUAUGCAAGUACUCAGUUGAAUAAUGCAGCCCUACCUGUUGACUUCAGUAUCCACUUCUAGACUACAAGCUCAAGCAUGUAGCCAGCAGGCUUGACUAUAUUUAACAAUCCUUAGCUUAAUCCAGUGGUUGUUAUUGUUGGCUUAAAUGGGUCAGCAUCCUGCUUUGUGCCGGAAGGUCAUGUGGGCCGAGUCAUGUUCGAAAUGACGUGAGGCUGGGUUGGGCCGAGUCAUGUUCGAAGUGGCGUGAGGCCGGAUGGGCCGAGUCACAAUCAAGACUCGUGGAUUCUGUAUCUGUACGCUUUAAGUAAAUUGAUUGCGUAUUUCUAACAGCUCGAGCUUUUGGGAUUAAUGAUUAGCGCCAACGAUUCGACAAGUGGUAUCAGAGCCAGUGGUCACGGGUUCGAUUCCCACAUGCUGCAAAUGUGUGCAGGUGCUGGAGAGGGGAUUGUUGGCGUAAAUUGCCUUGUGGCGAGAGGCCAUGUAGGCCGAGUCAUGUUCGAAGUGGUGUGAGGCCGGGUGGGUCGAGUCAUAAUCGAGAUCCGCGGGUGCUGUAUAAAGCAAAUUCUCCAUAGCUCUAUUUACAAAAUUGAGAAAUGAUUUGGUACUUUAUUUUUAAAAAAAUAAAAAAGAUUUUAAACGUUGAUUAAUAGAGGGUAAAGAUGUAAUUUUAAUAUUUAGCAGGUAAAAGGGUUCCUUCAUUCGAGAUUAGUUUGGUAAUUAAACUAUGCAACAUUUAAAAAAACUUUUAAUUGAUAUCCUAAAUUUACGCAUUAAUUUGCAAUAGUUUGGAUUAUAGAUUGAUUACCUAGUAUCGUUUGGUUCGGGGAUAAGCAAAAAGUGGCUAUUCCAGGAAUAGGUAUAAAUUGAGAUAUAAGCGGGGAUUAGAUCAAUUUUGCGUUUGGAUGAAAAUUGGGUUAUUUCUGGGAAUAAAAAAAAUAGCGUUUGGUUAGGUAAGAUUGAAUAAGAAGGAUAGUAGAUUUUAUAAAUAAAAAGUAAUGAUAUUAUCCUUUUAUUAUAUUUGAAUUUGAAUUUUUAAAAUUUUAAAUUUAUAUUUUUAAAUUUAAAAUUUUAACUUUAAAAUUUUAAAAUUUGAAAUUUAAAAUCUCAAAUUUUAAAUUCAAAAUUUUAAAUUUUAAAUUUCAAACUUUAAAUUUAAGAUCAAAUUUAAAUUUUAAAAAAUAAAUAAUCAAAUUUUAAAUUUAAAAAAUUUAAAAUAUCAAAUUUUAAAUUUCAAAAAUUUAAAAUAUCAAAAUUUAAAUUUAAAAUUUAAAAUUAUAAACUUUAAUUUUGAGAUUAUAAAUUAUAAAUUUUAAAAAUUUAAAUUUUUAAUUUUUAAAAUUUAAAUUUUUAAUUUUAAAAUUUUAAAGAAUAAGAGUGGGAACAAUUAUAAAAUAAUUUAUUAUAAUAAUAUAUAAAUUUUUUGAAAAUUCUACUUAAAACUUAAAUUUAAUAAAAAGAAUUUAUUAUAAUAUUUAAAUAUAUUUAUUAUAAUUUAUUAGAAUAUUUAAAUAAUAAAUAAUAUGUAUUAAUAUAGUACAAUUAAUAAUUUUAAUAAUAAAAAUAAUGUAUUUAAUAUAUACAUAUUAAAUUUAUAUAAUUUAGUUUUAGUUCAAUUUAAAUUUUAAUUAAGUUUGAAAUUAAGUAUUGGAAUAGCACUAUUCCACCAAAAUGGUAGAAUAGUAAAUUCAUUGCUAUUCCAGGAUAACUGAGAAUAGCAAAGUUUGACCGGGAUAAAAUAUCCCCGCCAAAUUUCAUCCCGUUUGGCAGAAUAGCGGGGAUAACUUUCGUUAUCCCCGCUUAUCCCCCGAACCAAACGGGUUAGUGUUUCUAUAGGCAUUAAUUUAAAUUAUAGGAAUUUUAGAAAUAAUUCUAUUUCUAAAUACGUUGAAUUUAAAUAUUAAAUAUUUAAAAAUUAAAAUAUUAAAAUUUAAGUUAGAGGAAUUUUGUAUUACUAUUGAAAAUUUUUUUAAUAUUGUUAAAUAUUUUAAUUCAACAUAUUUAAUAUAUUUAAGAAACUUUUAAAUUCCUAUAGUUUAGACAUUAAUUUUGUAUCACUUACUUAAAAAAAUUGAAUAUAGGUAAAAAAAUUGUAAAUUAAAUGUGUUUAAUAUGUUAAAAAAAAAUUCGAAUUGUUCUACUCUAGACAUUAAUUUUGUAUCACUAUUUAAAAAAAUUUGUAAUAUUGGUAAAUAUUUAAAUUUAACAUAUUUAAUAUGUUUAACAAAAUUAUGAAUUCAUCUUAGACAUUAAUUUUACAUUACUAAUUUUAAAAUUGAAUGUGGGCAAAUAUUAAAUUCAACAUAUUUAAUAUGUUGAAUUUAGUGCCAUGUGGUUUCUUUUUUAUUUUUUUAUUAUCAAUUCUAUUAAUUUUUUUCGUGAAAUUAGUAACAAAGUUAAAACUAAAGGGUACUAAAGUGAAUAUUCGAUAAACUUAGGUGGACUAAUCUGAAGUUCUUUGUAUAUAAUUUAAUAAAAUAUUAACGAAAAAACUGACCAAAAGAUAAAAAUAAAAUCAUAGGACACUAACUUGAUAAACUUUAAACCACAGGGUACUAAAGUAAGAAAAUAUAAAAUCAUAGGGUAGUAUUUGAAGUUUACCUUUGUUAUUUUUGGCAUAUGCCUCUAUUUGAGGAGAUAGUCGAGUCCACCUACUAUACUAUCAAUAACACUAAGCGUCUGGUGCUAUCGAGUUUUUUGCCGUUAGAUUAUCUCUUUGACUAUUUUUAUCCGUUAGAUCAUACUAUUCAACCAACCAACCACCCACUCAAAUCUAGAGAACUACUAUCAUCCUAACUGCACAUUCCCUAAUUCAAGAGCCGAAAACCUACCAGCAUCAAUGACUUAGUACUAUUAAUAAUAUUCUAGUCUAGUUCGAGAAAGUCUACUAUACAUAUUUAUAUUUCAUUAUCAACAAUCGGUCAAUCACAUUAUUUUUUUUAGAAAAAAAGUAUAAUAAAAAUAUUUUUUUAAUAAUCAUAAUGUAACAGCUGAAUUCAAAAAAAAAUAUUUAAUUUGUUGGAGAUGCUAACUCAGCAAUAUAACUAGCCAGUGUUUGGAUUGGGGAUAAGGGGAGGGAUAACCUCUUAUCCCCCUUUAUACCCAAAUGCAAAUUUUUUACCCGAAAAUAGUAGUUCUCGGUUAUCUAAAAUAAUCUGGUAUAACUAUCUACAUCAACACCUCUAUUUUCUAUACAUAACUAUUUAUUAUUUUUCUUAUUCCAUAUUAUCUAUCCAAAGUCCAAACGUCAUUUUUUUUAUUUUCGGGAACAACCAAUUUUCAUCCAAACGCUAUUUUUUUUAUCCUCAUACUUGUACUUAUUUCUGUAAUAACUAGUUCUUUCUUAUACCUAAACCAGACGCUUGUACGCUACCCUAGUGUAUGCUAAAUUUUUUUUCCAUUUAAAGGUGAAGGCCCACCGAAGCCAUGAGGAUCCAACACAUAACCCACAUUAAAUGGAAUUAAGAGUUGGAUCCGGAUUUGUCGUAAGCAUCCGGAUCCGAGAUCGCCAUUUAUCCAAACGGACCAAACCCUAGUGUUUCGCCUUGGGACACAUCACACGUUGGCUCCUCCUGUUGGUUCGAACCUUUUGUAAUUUUCCUUCUUUGUAUUUUCCUUUUCACUCCCUCCUCUCGAGCACGCUUCAUACGCUUUGCUCGCGCGUAUACUCGUUCUCGUUCUUAGAUUCUCGAAGAAGAGGUAAUGCAUUUUCCCCAAAUCCUUCUUUUUGAUCCUUCUAACCGUUAAAAAAAAGAAAUACUUUGUCGCAAGAUUAUUCGAUUAGUCCCAAAGAUGGGGUUUUUGCUUUAUUAUUAUUAUUUUUUGCAUAUGCACGCUUAUUGUUUGAUGAAAUGCCUCUGAAGAUUCGUUUGUGUUCAUCUACUUGUUUUAGCUCUGCAUAUAAUGGUGGGGCUCUCGGAGGGGGAGAAGCAUUUCAUUCGCGGCGGGAUCGCGCAAGACCUUCGAUCGGACGGCCGUAAGAGGCUUCAGUUCCGGUCUAUCUCCGUCGAGACCGGAGUCAUCCCGCAGGUUGCAUCUUAUAUUCCAUCAAAAAAUUUGCUUAUUGGGUUAAAGUAUGAGAAUUUAUUUCAUUCUCUAUGUAUUCUUUGUGCUUGAAUUUCUGGGGCUUCAUGAUAGGCAAAUGGUUCGGCUCGUGUUAGGUUGGGUGCGACGGACGUCAUAGCUAGCAUUAAGGUACGAAUAUUUUGCUCUAAUAUUUGUUUAAGGCAUGUAUGUAUUCAGCAAGUAUUUAAGCGCCCAUCGACACUGAUUGUGUCUAUUGGUCAUAAUAUGCCGACAAAAUAUCGGUACGAUACCAUGGCACGGUUCAAAAUCAUUCUUUUUUUUUUUUUUUGAAAUUAGCAAGUAGUUACAUCAAUAAAAUGCAAAAAGAUAUGAUAAAGAUAUAUAAUAAUCAAUUAGAAUAUAUUGAUGCAAAAAAAAAAAAAAUUCAUAUCAUUGCGUGUCAGCAUAUAGGUAUUUUUGUGAAUGACACAUAUUAGCAUGGCAUGUCAUGCACCAUGCUAUGCUGUGCCACGACACUUAAAUCCUUGGUAUUUAGCUGAUAGAGAGUGCAUCAUUUUUGCUUUGGUGGUAUUGGAUUAGUGUUGCAUCUUGGCGACAAUUUGAAUAGUGGUUUUAUGAUUAGUCAAGUGCGGUUGCUGACUAUAUGUUCGUAAAAUUUGCAUACCUGUAAUGUCGACGUGGACGAGUAGGUUACACUGUAAACGGCAUAAGGAGAAUCAACUUUAUUUGUGAUGACUGUUGACAGUGUUGAUUAAGUUGAACAUAGGAAACAGUCUUAGAUGGUUUGAUUGCAUAAAAGAGAGCUUUGUAAUGGACUAAUAAGGAGGAAUAAUCAAAUUAACAGUUGAUGUUGCUACUAGGAGGGGAAGAUCAAAUAAGGUUUGGCCUGUUUGAAUAUAUAUAAGUCGUGAGAAAAGAUGCAACAGCUUUUAGACUUUUGGACAUAACCCUGAAAAUCAAGCUGAUUACUUGAACAUAGUCCGUGCAGGGAAAUCCACAUAUCAGGACUUGCAAAGCAAAAAACCUUAAUGCAAUGUAGGUUACAUAUUUGUGUCCUUUUUAUGUUAAUCUUUAAAAAUCAUUCACUGUAUCGUGCUAACUUUGUGUUUUACAGGCUGAACUUGGGAAGCCAAGCAUUCUCCGACCUGACAAAGGAAAAGUGUCUAUAUUUGUUGAUUGCAGCCCUACAGCAGCUCCUAUGUUUGAGGUUGGCCGACUGGGCUGCACAGUGUGUUCUUUUGCUUUAAGUGUAGAUUGAAAUUUCAUGUAUGUUUGGUCAUGUGCUUCUUGCUUCUCUUGUUUGCCUCCUUUUUGCAUAUUUUAUAAGAAGGAAUGUAACAUUUUCUUGUAUAAGUUCGGUGGUUGCCUUUUAGUGUUAGUUGUUAAAUAUAAUAUUUGUUCCUGGUGUUACUCGGUUACACUAUCUUCCUUAUUAGUUCAAACUUUGUGCAUCUUCUUAGGGCCGAGGUGGUGAAGAGUUAUCAAAUGACCUCUCUGUUGCACUUCAGAGAUGCUUACUUGGUGGUACGAGCGGGGCAGGUAUUAAACUUCAGAACAUCGCUGAGGAAGUUUAUUAUAAAAAAUAUAGAAUAAGAAUGGAUGUACGAUUAUUAUUUGGUUCCUUUAAUGUCAUAUUAAUGAUAGCGCUGCCAUGCAUUAAAGGCCAAAUUAUUGAGGUUUGCAUCCCUGAUUGGUGCCUAAUGAAAAGCAUUCCAAAUGUAUUGUUUCCUCCGGCAAAAAAAUUUUAUCUUCUCUCUGGCAAUUAAUAUGCUUGUGAAAUUAUGAUUAUUGAAAUAUGAGGGCCUCUUUUACAUGCCACUGAUUUAUAUUUGAAUAAUGAAUAUAUUACCUGCUUUGCUGUUUCUAGAGUAUAAAUAUAUAUCGUCAGCGCAUGACAGAGUUACUGCUUUUAUUGCUUAUUCUUGCAAUGAUUUUGGUGUUACUGCUUUCAUCACUUAUUCUUGCAAUGAUUUUCAAUGGAAUUCUAACUUGCAUCCACGGUAACAUGCCUUCGAUGCUGUCAUAUCAUUUUAAUGUUACCAUUUUGCAUCACUUGCUCUACGAAGUGCAUGGUAUGGAAGAAAUGAAAUGCUUACUCAUUGCUCUCAUGUUCUAAGACAACAUUUAUCUAACUUGUGGUUUGUUAUUUGACUUAAUUGAUUCAUUAUGGUUUUGGUUGGAUCUGAAUUCCAGGGGCUGGAAUUGAUCUCUCCUCUCUGAUUAUCGUUGACGGUAAAGUUUGCUGGGAUCUUUAUAUUGAUGGACUUGUCAUCAGUUCAGAUGGUAAUUUACUGGAUGCGUUAGCUGCUGCUAUUAAGGUAAUAAUUUUUGGAUUGGAUUGUCGUUACUUAAUUCAGUUUCCACUGCAGCAUUCUGGAGUACUACCUUAAGUAAAAGAAGAAUCUAUUAAAUAAUUGAUCUGAGUUUUUAUGACCAAUUGUCCAGUUGAAACUAGGUCCUGAAUGAGAGUAUGGAGCUUGCCACUACCACAUCCUAUAAGUCUAUAUUAGGUUUUACACCUUCCUUUUAUUGAACUGUUUGGUGUUUUUCCUCUAUAGCCUAUUACCAUUGGCGUUAAUGUUAUUUUGUUUUUUAUUUUUUAUUUUUCAUUUGUUGCUUCGUAUUGAAAUUACGAGUUUGACAGUAAGCUCUAUGUUUUAUACUUUAGCUCUAUGUUUUAUACUUGUGGGAUAAGCCUAUUGUCGGGACUUGGAACAUUUUUCUGGCCAAAACUUAUUUUAGUAUUUUUAUUGUUUGUCCAGAUUACAUGGCUUUUUGUGCUUGAGACCCAAUUGCUAUACGAGCUUUAAUCCCUUGCAAUUCAUUUAGAGAAUCCCAAUAUGAAGGGAAAUCAGACCACAAGGAGAUCUUAAAACAUAAAAGGAGUAGAAAGAGGUUUUAAAAGAAGAGUUAAUGUCUUUUCUCACCAUGUUUAUUAUUUUUGUAUUGGGCUUUUGGGAAAUUGUAGAGUGUAGUUGUUAUUCAUUUGCCUCCAUAUAUAGUUAGAAUCUAGCUAGACAUUUCUUACUUGAAAAUUUGAAACUUGUGGAUUAAAAAGAAUUGACUGAGAGUAAUUAAAAUCAUUCUCAUGCUUUGGGAAGUAUUUUGCACCAUGCAAUAUCAACACAUGAUAAGAACUGAUGCAAUUUAGUUCUGUCAGAUCUGUUAAUAAAGCAAUUCUCUUUCUUUGCUAGGUUGCCUUAAGCAAUACUGGAAUACCAAAAGUUAGUGUUCUUGGUGCCUCAUCCGAUGAGCAACCAGAUGUUGAUGUCAGUGAUGAAGAGUUUCUACAGUUUGACACUUCUGGAGUUCCAGUUAUAGUAACUUUAACCAAAGUAAGUUGCUUUCAUUGAUCGCAAGUACUAUAAACUGUAGUUAUCGAACAUCUAUUAGACAUUGACCUGCUCAGUAAUCGAGUCACUGGGUCAUUGGUCAGAGCAGUGUGUCAACUGGUUGGACUGCUGGUUUAAUAACAUAUGAUAUAAGAUAUAAAAUAACCAGUCCAAAUUACAAGAAAAAUUAAAUUGUCUAAUGUAUUGUGUUCAAUAAAACUUUCGUGUGAUUGGGUGAGGGAGGAUGGCGAAUUGCUUGUUGCUCUAUGCAUUCGCAGCAUUUGUUUGGCAGUAAAAAGAAAAAAAAGGAAAAAGAAAAUUUGCUAGUUACUUUUUUUGGCAUCCUUUUCAUUUUAAGAUGUUGUCCUGUGUCUAGCUGCUGUAUGUUGCAAGCUAAGUAACAAUGAUACAAAACGAGAGGUGCACCCAAUCACACAAAAUUUGUGUUUAAUUAAAAAAAAAAGAAAAAGGAAAAUAAGCAACCAAACUAGGCCUUAUAGAAUAUAGCAAAUAAUCAUCAAAAAUAAAAAUAAUAUAAACCUAACUCUUAUCAUAUAUAAUGUGUGGGUUCAUUCAAAUAUUAUAGAACUACUUUGUAAGAACCUUCGAAAUUUGUAGUGAUUUCACUUUUAAGCACAUCUGAGGCUCUAGUACAAUGGUUGACUUCUUUAUCCUUCUCUUAUAUGUUGUGAAAUUGAAUCCCAUCAAUGGCAUAACAUGCAAUAUAUGUUUAUUUUCUCUCUGAAACUGUAAACACUUUCUAUAGGUUGUCAAAUUGAACCUUUAUAGAUACAUAUAGAUGAACUCUUUAUGACCUUCAUAAAAUAAACUGUCGGAUACUCUUCUUCAUGUGAUUCAAGGUGACAUUUUUCGUUUCUUGGCACCACCAAAUUAUUCACUUGAAGUAAGUGGCAUAUUUCUUCUUUUUACUAGGUUGGCAGGCACUAUAUAGUAGAUGCUACAUCAGAAGAGGAAUCUCAAAUGAGCUCUGCUAUUUCGGUCUCGGUGAAUAGGCGGGGGCAAAUAUGCGGGCUAACCAAACGUGGAGGCGCAGGAUUGGACCCAAGCGUCGUUCUUGACAUGAUAUCUGUAGCGAACAGCGUAAGCCAACAACUAAUAACCGUAUUAGAUUCAGAGAUCGCAGCCGCUGAAGCAUCCGAGGAAUGAGUGAGAUUUUAUCUGCUUUUACUAACAAGGAUGCGAAUACUUGUUGUAGACAUUAUUGUGAGAUCUAGUGAAUUGGAAGUGGUAAUGCAUUAAUGCUCUCCCAGAGAACAAUCCAAUGCCAAGUAUUUAGUUCUAUGGGAGAUGUGAUUAGCUUAGUGGGUCACUUGAUAAAUACUUUGCUUGCUUGCAAAUUGCAAUGGAUAACUUAACCUCAGAAGCAUCAUAAAUUCUUUUCUGAAGCUUUGUAUUGUUCUCAUUGCAUAUUCAAAGGAUUUUUGUUUUAACUACUAGAUCAGAUAGGUGAGAUCCAAAAGUCUUAAACCUUUCCCUCAAUAAACUCUUCUGAUCAAUGUGAUUAUUUCUUCGAUAAAGACAUAAAUGUGGGGCUGUGGAGUGUUUGGUUAAUUUUUGGCUCAGUAAAAAUGGGUAGAGUGCACCAAAACCCUGUAUAAUUUAGGUAAUUUUUUUGGUUAAAAAAUAAGUUCAAAAUAUUUUCUAAUCGUUCAAGAUAAAAUAAAGAUACAAAUAAA
rnacentral:lncRNA from 1 species